rnacentral:lncRNA from 1 species
UUUGACUUUUGAAUGGGUUUCAAAUAGAAAAAUCAUUUAUGAAUCUGUAACCCGCCCUAGUUUAAUCCAUGAACUCAAUCCGGUUAUCUUAUCCCUUCCUAUUCUUAAUAACUGUCCGAACCAUGAAUUGUCUUCUGACUCAUCAAUCAGAUAGAUGAAUUUUAGAAUUGUUCAAGAAACAAGUGAUCCCUUUUCUCCAUACGGAUAAACCACAUACAUGUUCUUCUCGUUUCAUCAACUAAUCUUAGUCUUGAAUCCCGUUGAAGAGGGGAAAUUUAUAAAUAUUUUUAUGUAUUCUUCAAAUUUCUAUGUGUAUUAAACUACUACAGUAUCAUAAGUAUCAUAUAUUUUAUUACUUUCUACUUUACUCUAUCAUUUUCUUUUAGGGUAAAUUACAUAGUAGCCUCUCAGGUUUGAGGUUUAUUACAACCUCAUACAACAUCUUUAAAACAUUUCACUUUCAUACCUCAUGUACUAUUUUAUUUCAAAAUAACAUCUCCGUUAGAUUUUCCAUCCAUUAGUCUGUUAAAUGUUGACGUGGCUGCCACAUUUGUGCUUAUGUGGCUGCCAUGUGGCAAAAAAAAUAAUUUUUAUUUAAAAAAAAAAAAACCUAAAUCUUCAAAAAAAAAAAAAAAAAAAAAACCUUAGAAAACCUAGAUCCCACUUCCCCCCCCCCCCCCGCGGCCGCCGAAACCCCAUCCCUUUAGAAAACCCAUAAGCAGCCAUAAAGACCCUCAUUCCCUUAAAUUUCCCAACACACUCUCCUUCUCACUCUCACUCUCACCCAACACCUUCCCCACACCCCCAAAACCAUGAAAGUACCUUCUCUUUCUUCUUCCUCCUUCCCUCUGUUUCCCUCGACCUCUCCCGCUGCAACCUCUCCAACCAAAUCCCACCACAAAUCUGCCACAUUUCUUCACUAAUCCACCUCAAUUUGAGCGGCAACGCCUUCCACGGCCCUCUCCAGCCCGCCAUUUUCGAGCUCUACAACCUCAGGAUCCUCGGCAUCAGCCACAACGACUUCAAGUCGGAUUUCCCUCCCGGGAUUUUGAAGCUCAGUGGUGGUGGUGUGUCGUCGGUGCGUGCGUGGUUGUGUAGACGGGUGCGUGCGUGGGUGUACUGUCGGGGAGAGAGUCCGAGAGAGAGAUAGAGAGUGAGAGAGUGAAAGAGUGAGAGAUCUGAGAGAGAAACCCCCCCCGGCCCUCCCGCGACCCGCGACUCGCGACCCACGUCCCACCUCUCUCCCCCCGCUCCGCCGCAACCGCAACCACUUCCCUUCCCCCCCCCGGACCUUCUGACGACCUUCCUGCGAACUGGGCUUUUUUUUUUCUUUUUUUUCUCUUUUUUUUUCUCCCUCUUCUUCUUCUUCUUGUUGCAGGUUUUGGGGGGAUGAACUGGGGUUUGUUUUUUCUUUUCCUCCCUCCUCUUCUUCUUCUUCUUGUUGUUGCAGGUUUUUAGGUUCUAGGUUAGGGAUAGGGAUGUGGGUCGAUUGGGGGGAGAUCGUUGGGGGGUGGGUGAGAGAUAGUGGGUAGGGAUUGCAGAGAGGAGAGGGGGAAGAAAAGGGAUCUGGGUUAGGGUUUUUAUGUUUUUUUUUUUGAAGAUUUAGGUUUUUUUUUAAAAAAAUUAAAAAUUAUUUUUUUUGCCACGUGGCAGCCACAUCAGCACAAAUGUGGCAGCCACGUCAGCAUUUAACAGACUAAUGGAUGGAAAAUCUAACGGAGAUGUUAUUUUGAAAUAAAAUAGUACAUGAGGUAUGAAAGUGAAAUGUUUUAAAGAUGUUGUAUGAGGUUGUAAUAAACCUCAAACCUGAGGGGCUACUAUGUAAUUUACCCUUUCUUUUAAUAAAUUUCCUAUUAUUAAAUUAAUAUUUGUAUUGAAUUAAAUACAUAUUAGUUAAUUAAAUAUUAAAUAAUAUGAGACUCGAAAUGAAAGUACCCUUCUCACAUACAUUCCCCAUUACGUUGUCGGAACAAAAAUAUUGCAUGUAUCAAUAUGGAUGGAAAUAUUUAGUACAUGAAAUAACGAUUUGCUAAAUAUAUAAAUAGAUAUAUAAGAUAUAACUAAUAAAACGGAUCUUGUGUUCUGGAAUUGGAAUCAAAGAAAGAUAUUUAAAAUGGCUUGUAUGUUGUGACUUGGAAUAAAUGUUUCUCGGUAAAGGAAGGGAAUAGUACUUUAUUCCUUCCUAAUUUAUUCAUAUAGAACGUCUAGGAACAAAAAGAUUAAAUAAGAUAUAUAGACAGAUUCCUGCGUAGUCCGAAGAAAAAGAAAGAUCCAAUUUCAUCUCUAUCCAAUUUUGAUAUGAGAAUAGUGGAUAUAAUUAUGAUGCAAUGGGUUAGGUCCACUUGCUUUUUAUUUUGUUGAUUUCUAAUCGAUUUAAUUGGAAUAAUGGAAAAUAGGAAAGGAAUGGUAAUAUAUGAAGAUUUAACGAGACGACUUAUCCUUACAUUCAUUAUAAUAUUUAAUAAAUAAUAUUUAUAAUAAUUAUAUUAUUUAUUUAAUAAUUAAUAAUAUAUUAUUUAUUUAAUAAUAUAUUUAAUUUAUUAAAAUAGAAAAUUUAUAACCAUACUAUAAUAAAUUUUAAUGUUAUAAUUUUGAUUAUAUAUUAAAAUAUGUUGCAGUCAUAUUUAGAAUAGGAAUGUGAUUGUGUAAAUCCUAGUAGAUAUGAGAAUAUAUCUUAUAUUCCUAUUAGGAGUAGAUUACCUAUUAAAUGUUGUAAUCCUAAAGGGAAAAGUUUUUAUCUAUCCUACUAUUAUAAAUAAAGGCACAAUGGGGUGAAUCAAAUAUACCUCACAAUUAAAUCAAUAUCUUCUCUCUAACCAUAGUCGGCCCCCUCUCUCUCUCUAAAUCGUAGAUCUUUCAAUCAAAUAGGCCUACAACACGUUAUUAGCACGCUUUUGCCAGAAGUUGAGGAAUUGACGCAUUGUAUGAGGAGGCUAUCAUCCACCAAAUUCAAAGACUUAUUAGUUUUCUGCUAAUCAAGUACGCUUAAAAUAAAAAAAGGUAUUUGAAACGUCCACGAAGCAUGAAAACAUUCCCCAUGAUGCAUGAACCCUUCUAUGUUUAUAUUUUCCUUACGAUAUACAUAUUGUAUAUGUUUAUAUAUUUGUUUCAUGCAUUGUACAAUUAAAUUGUUAUGUGGAAUUUGUGAGCCAAAUUAUAUAAAAUAAAUUAGAAGCAUAUUUAGGGUAUUCCUAAACCCUUAGGGAUUUUUGAAAAGAAAAAAAGUGGAUAUGGUGCGGCACACCACCGCACCAUCAUUGUGGAAGUAGCCACCAAGCCUCGGCCUGGAACUAACCUCGGCAAGGCCUAAAGUCCCAUGCUUCAUCCCGCUGCCUUGGCCCAUAGCCAUAACACCAGCCCUUUUGCGGCUGGGCUUCCCGCCACCCGUGCCCAAACCAAUGCCAGCCUUUUGUGCUGGGCUUUGUGCACACCCCCAGCCCGUUUCUCGAGCCCAGUUUGAUGUGUCUAAAGCAUGCUGCCGUGCCUUUCCCUUGGCCCAAAUUGAAAUCCAGUUGCGGCUGAGGUUUCUCCAGCACCCCCUGUGGCCUGCAGUUACUCCUGAGGCCCUUUUGGGCCUUGCCUUUUACUCAAGGCACCCAACUCUUGCCCAAUUAUUUUUCGGGCAAUAUUUUUCGACCCAACUGCUAUUAUUUUUGCAUUCUAUAUAAUUUUACCCGUAUGUUAUUAUUAUUUUGCUUCUACAAUCGACCCCGUAUGGCCCGAUUUAUUGAAUUAAUUAAAAGUGACUUGCAGUCCAUUAAUCUGAUAAUAAAUCCAAAAUUAUUGACCUGAAGAUCACUUUUGGACAUUAACGAUUCAAUAAUUUAUUUUUAUACUUUGAAUCGUCACAUACUUUCGUAGUAAUGAAGCUCUCACAAUUGAGUUCCUGAAGAACCUCAAAUCCACUAUAUUCAAAUUAGUAUAUUGCAUUCUGUGUUUCUUGCAAGAACCUCUCAUUAUGAACUAAUUGUUCAUAAAACUAAAUUGAACCUGUAGUUUCAAAUUUAGUGCCUUUGAAACCUGAAGUUUUCAUUUAAAACAUACCACAUGAAACCUAUAGUUUUCAUGCAUAAAUUAAACCAAUACAUGUUUAUAGAACUUGUAUGUUCUACGAUAUAUGUCUAUGGCUUACCAUAUGACUACUCACAUUUUCUCCGCUUUAGAAGUAUCUGGAAGAAACUAUCUAAAGUGCGUUCAAGACGUGAAGCUCCAUCUGACUGCAAAGGGCAUUAGAGCCACCAUCGAGACACCUAUCGCCGACAAACCUAUUGACAAAGCCCAGAAGGCUAUUGCAAUGAUCUUCAUUCGAAGACACAUCCAUGAUGCACUGCAGACUGAGUAUCUCAAUGAGGAGGACCCACGCACUUUCUGGCUUGCUCUGGCCGACCUUUUCGAUCACCAGAAAGACAUAUACUUUCCUGAAGCAAGACACGACUGAUAGCAUCUUCGCUUCUAGGACUUUAAGUCCAUGAAUGAAUACAACUCUGAAGUUUGUAGAAUCCAUUCAUUGUUAAAAUUCGGCAAAGUGGAACUAACCGAAUAAGAUCUCCUAGAGAAUACCUAUUCGACCUUCCAUGCCACCAAUAUUGUCCUACAGCAACAAUAUAGGGCAUAUAAAUUCACCAAGUUUUUGGAUUUGAUCUCUGUUUUGCUUCUUGCUGAAAAGCAGAACCAGCUUUUGAUGAAGAAUCAUCAAGCUCGACCCAUUGGCUCAAACGCCGCGCUUGAAGCGCAUACUAAUUCUAACAGCCAUAAAUGACGAAAGAAUUGUUGUGGCCAAUGGGCCACAUGCCCAACCACAGGCCUAAGGUCAACAGAGUGCCGCACCUAAGGGAAGAAAUGUGACCCAGCAGCAUUCACCACUCGCCCCUAAGACCCCAAACUUGAAGAACAAGGGUAAAGCUCCCGUUCAGCCCGCUUCUACUGAACUGGACAUGUGCUAUCGUUAUGGAUCAAGGGAUCAUUGGUCACGCGUAUGCCGAGCUUCUCCUGAGGCUAUUGCCAAGUAUCAUUCCCGUCGUGAGUCUAACUUUACACACGUGGAUCAUCUUGAAAAUGCUACUUCAUUAAUGGAGAUAUCGGAUUUUUAGAAGGUGUCAGCGCCUAUGGAUGAAUAAAUUAGACAUUUUUAGGGUGUUUACCCCUAGUGGCUGAACCCACUAGGAGUGGCUGGCCCUACCCCCCCUAUUUCUCUAGGUUUAUGGUUUAAUUUUAAACAAUUUUUCUAAGUAUUUGGAAUAAUUUGUUUGGUUUUGGUUUGUUUUGAAUUAUGGAUUGUUAUUUGAAUGGGUAUUAUUUUCUCGAAUUGCUUAAUUGAAUGAAUGGACUUAUAUAUAUGCAUGUGACAAAUUCAAUCAAUUUAUUUCUAGGUAUGUCUAGUGGGGAAGUUAGUUGUAUAGCAGAUAGUGCAACCACGCACACCAUCUUGUGUGAACGACACUAUUUUACUAACUUAAUACCCAAGAAAACUCAUUUGACAACUCUUUCAGGCUCAUCCAACUUGAUUGAAGGAUACAUAAAGACAUAUAUCAUGUUGUCCAAUGGUACAAUCUUGACCAUUAAAGAGGCACUCUAUUCUCCACGUUCCGAAAGAAUGUUACUGAGUUUUAGAGAUAUUCGAGAUAAUCAAUAUCAUAUUGAAACCACUGAAGAUAAUGGUUCUGAAUUUCUUUGUAUCACUUCAUACGAAUAUGGCUAGAAGCGUAUUCACGAGAAGUUGGAACGUUUGCCAAGUGGGUUGUACAUCACAACCAUUCGUGGCAUAGAAGCCCACAGUGUGGUCGGCCCUAUGCCUGAGUUCCAGGACACUUUGUUGCUUUGGCAUGACCGUUUGGGACAUCCUGGACGUGACAUGAUGCGCCAUAUCCUCAAAUCUUCACACGGGCAUAAGUUACAUCCCUACGUUGGACUCCCGUCAUGCAAAGCGUGUUCUUUAUUGAAGUUGAAUACUCAACCCUCAUAUACAAAGAUUAUUCACGACCCCCAUAAGUUUCUUAAGAAGAUUCAAUGGGACAUUUGUGGACCUAUCCAACCAACAUACGGACCAUUUAGAUACUUUUUUGUGUUGGUUGAUGCAUUGACAAGAUGGUCACAUGUUUGCUUGUUGUCUACACGCAACACCGCGUUUGCUAAACUUUUAGCUCAAAUCAUUAAGUUAAGGGCUCACCACCCUGAUUAUCCGAUUAAGUCAAUUCGACUAGAUAAUGUUGGAGAGUUUACGUCACAGACUUUUGACGAUUAUUGCAUGUCAGUAGGAAUUGAUGUGGAACAUCCUGUACCUCAUGUUCACACCCAAAACGGCAUGGCAGAAGCUUUCAUAAAGUGCCUUCAAUUGAUUGCUCGGUCUUUGGUUAUGAGAACCAAACUGUCGGUAUUUGCCUGGGGCUAUCCAAUAUUGUACGCAGCUAUGUUGGUUCGCCUGAGGCCCACCGCUACUCAACUACAUUCACCGUUACAGUUGGUCAUUGGAUACGAGUUUGACGUCUUGCAUUUACGGGUGUUUGGGUGCGCCAUUUAUGUGCCAAUAGCGCCACCGCUACGUACCAAAAUGGGUCCAUAGAGAAAAAUGGGAAUCUAUGUCGGUUAUGAUUUGCCAUCAAUUGUUCGCUACUUAGAACCCUUGACAAGGGAUCUUUUUACCUCACGUUUUGCGGAUUGUCACUUUGAAGAGACAGUCUUCCUGUCGUUAAGGGGAGAUAAGCAUGCUAACGUUCCUGUAGAACGCUGCGAAUUGUGGUGGUAUGCUCCCAUUAUGUCUCAUUUAGAUCCUCGCAUUGCCCAGUCUGAAAUUGAGGUGCGACAAAUUAUAGAUCUUCAGAGCAUUGCUCAAAGCAUGCCGAAUGCUUUUAAUGAUCUAGCAAAGGUGACAAGAUCACUUAUACCCGCUGCAAACACACAUGCAAGGAUAGAUGUACCCCGUGUAUGUCAACAACCCGCCUGGGAAGGCCGGACCAUUUCGGGAGGCUGCACCCUUCACGCGGCAAGGUACAUUGGUGGUUAGCCAAUCAUCUGUUUCGACCCUGAAGCAUGGCAGACCCCUUGGUUCAAUGGAUUCACAACCCCGGAAGAGAAAAAUGGCACCAACUAGUGACCCUAGUUUGAAUCCGACCAUCGCUCACUCAUCCGUUCCAACGCAUGAGGUUAUUCUAGAUUACCGUGAUGUUUCAGACGAAACAUGCCGGCCCUCAGAGAAUGGUGAGAUUUUGGUCCACUACGCAAUCUUGGAUGAGAUUUGGAAUAUGAAUGAGAUGAUCUUCGAUGAUACAUUCGUGUACUCAGUAGCUACUGACAUCAUGCUUAGUGAUGACAUUGAACCACGUUUCAUCGAUGAAUGCCGACAUAGAACUGAUUGGUCAAACUGGAAACAAGAAAUCCAGGUUGAACUCGAUUCGCUUGCGAAACAUAAGGUAUUUGGAUCUAUCAUUCCUACACACCACGCAUGAAGCCUGUUGGCUACAAGUGGGUUUUCGAAAGGAAGCGUAAUGAGAAGAAUGCAAUAGUGUGAUACAAAGCACGCCUCGUAGCGCAAAGCUUUUCUUAGCACCCUGGGAUUGAUUAUGAGGAGACAUAUUCCCCCAUAAUGGACGUUAUAACGUUCCGUUACCUAAUCAGUUUGGUAGUUUUUAACAAACUGAAUAUGCAGCUGAUGGACGUGGUAACAGCGUAUCUCUAUGGGGAUCUAAGAUACAAAAAUUUACAUGAAAGUUCCAUAAGGACUUGCAUUGACUGAUUCAAAUAGUUCUAGACCACGAAACACUCUCUCAAUUAGGUUGAAGAGGUCACUCUACGGAUUGAAACAAUCUGGGCGGAUGUGGUAUAACCGUCUGAGUGAAUAUUUGACAAGUCAGGAUUAUGUGAACAAUGAAUUAUGCCCAUGUGUGUUCAUAAAGAAGUCACAUUCCGGAUUUGCAAUCUUUGCAGUUUAGGUCAAUGACAUGAACCUCAUUGGGACUCUUGUAGAGCUUGAGGAAAUUGCUGCACACUUGAAAUCGGAAUUUAAGAUGAAAGAUCUUGGGAAAACUCGAUAUUGUCUUAGCCUGGAGAUCGAGCAUUGUUCGGAUGGAAUCCUAGUACAUCAAUCGAACUACACCCAAAAUGUGUUGCGUCGUUUUAAUGAGGAUAAAGCGAUACCUUCGAGUACACUCAUGAUCUCAAACUCUAGAUGCUAAAUGAGAUCCUUCCGUCCAAAGGAGGAUGAGGAAGAGAUUUUGGAACCCGAAGUUCCUUACCUAAGUGCAAUUGGGGCUUUAUUGUACUUGGCUCAAUGCACUAGACUUGACAUCUCAUUCGUUGUGAAUCUUUUGGCAAGAUGCAACAAUGUGGCUACACGCAGACAUUGGAAUGGUGUUAAAGACAUUUUCCGCUACCUCAAAGGUACACCGGAUUUGGGCUUGUUCUAUACCCAUGAAUCUCUGAAUGUUGUCGCCCCCUAUGGUCUUUGGAUUGAUUCUCGCCUUGUUGGUUACACAGAUGUUGGAUAUCUGUCUAACCCACAUAGGGCACAUUCUCAAAUAAGUUAUGUCUUUACCGUUGGAGACAUUACUAUAUCUUGGAGGUUUACCAAGCAAACGCUAAUUGCAACUUCGUCGAACCAUGCUAAGAUUCUUGCCCUGCAUGAAGCAUUGCGUGAAUGCUUAUGGUUGAGAGAAGUUAUGGGAUGCAUUCGAAGCACUAGUGGUCUUACAUCAGUCGUUGACCUUCCUAUAACGAUCUUUGAAGACAAUGCAGCAUGUAUCGAGCAGUUGAAGAAAAGAUAAAUCAAGGGAGACAACACCAAGCACAUAACGCUGAAGUUCUUUUACUCACACCAACAACAUUAAUAUCAGAACAUUGAAGUCAAGCAAAUCCAUUCCCAGGACAACCUGGCAGAUCUUUUCACCAAGUCAUUGCCCAAGUCUACUUUUCAGAAGCUCGUCCAAGGAAUCGGUAUGUGUAAAUUAUCUGAGUUGAAUCGCUUAUAGUUCUCUUAUUUAGAAGUUAUGUCUAACUCAGGAGGAGUAUCUAGAAGCAUACUCACAUGAUAUUAAUGUACUCUUUUUCCUACGAUUAGGAGCAUUUUUCCCACUAGGUUUUUGCUAACUAACGAUGUUUAAUGAGGCACCCAUCCUGGGAUGAUCAUACUUCGUUGAGUUCACUAGUUUCGUCCUGUUUGACGUUUGUUUAAAGACAUUAUGCAUACUUCUCACUUUUCUCCUUAGUCUAUGGGUUUUCCCCUGCCUUGGGUUUUACCAUAGCGAGGUUUUGUGAAUUUUACUACAAAUGCAUACUUCACUUAAAUUUGAGACUCGUGAUCACCCGUUGUGCCGAUGACUUCAUCAACUAUUCUACCUUAUCUACUGAAGAUCUGAUGUGAUGGUUUGUUGAGUAUUUACACUAUUUAGAAUAAGAAUGUGAUUGUGUAAAUCCUAGUAGAUAUGGGAAUGUAUCUUAUAUUCAUAUUAGGAGUAGAUUACCUAUUAAAUGUUGUAAUCCUAAAGGGAACGGUUUUUACCUAUCCUACUAUUAUAAAUAAAGGCACAAUGGGGUGAAUCAAACACACCUCACAAUUAAAUCAAUAUCUUUUCUCUCUAAACAUAGCCACCCCCCCUCUCUCUCUAAACCCUAGAUCGUUCGAUCAAAUAGGCCUACAACAAAAUAUUAAAUUAUACGGUCUUUUACUUUUUUUUUUAUUACUUUAUUACAAAGAUCAAUAAUAUCUCAUUCACCUAUUAAUGAUGGUAAUCAAAUCUAGUAAAAAAGAGUACGAGAUUUACAAUUCAAGUGGUUAAGACUUAAAGAGAUUGUAUUGCUACACCCAAAGUCGUGUAUUUGAAUCCUCUUAUCAUUUGUUUUGAAGAAAAGAAAAUUUUGGUUAAGAAGGGAAUAGGACCCAAUAUUUACCCUUCACCCCACCCCAUUCGGGCAAUUGGGCUGAGGGAACCCUUGGAAGAGAUUAGGCCAUGUCUUAGGCCUGAGCGCCUAAGGAGGAGUGACGUCAACCACGUUAUAAAAUUUUUUGUGUCAGGCAUAUGGGGGGGGGGGCAUCAUCAACAAGAUUUCAGGCAGUGGGGCCUGCAUGGUAACCCACUUAGUAGCCGUUGAAUUUGGACUGUUUGAUUUUCAGAUCAAUGGUCCACGUUUUUUCGCUUUAAAAAUUAAAAAAAAAGAAAAAAAAACAAAAAUGUUAUUGUGGGCCACGUGUCACAAUCUGAACUGUUGGAUUUCAAUUUUUUUGUAAUCCAACGGUUUAGAUUAAUUAAGUUAAUAAAUUUUUUUAAAUAAUUAAAAAUUAGAAAAAAUUUCAAUUUUUUUUUUAAAAAAAGUUAUAAUUUUUUAUUCUAUAAAUACCUUACCAUUUUCUCCUACCUUACACUACAAUUCAAUAUUUUCAACGAUUCUAAACAGGUAAGGACAGGUUGCUCGAUGAAAUUGGUUAAAAAUCUUAUCAACCUAUCUACAAAAAUUGUGCUUUAGGAUAAUGACACGCGGCGUGACGAGAUCGGUUAAAAAUUCUAUCCAAAAUUAAAAAUAAAAUUAUUUUUUAUUAUUUUAUAAAAUAAAAAAUACUAAUAUUUUAAUAUGAAUUGCCUAGGCUGUCCAGUUUAGGGGUGGAGAUGCAAUAGACAAUUAUUAUUCAUUAAAGGUGGUUACUAUUCACUUGAGGGGAUUUAAUUGCCUAUUGCCAUGGGGAGCCUUUACACACUAGAACUAUUUGUUAAAAAAAAAAAAAAAAUCUAUUCAAUAUUCACCUAUCUUGCAAACCCCUCAUGACCCCAGGAAGCGAUGGGAACUUGUAUGACACAUUGACACAUGUAUACUACUAUGAUGAUAAUGUCUCGUGUUGAUAAUAUAAGAAGACGUGUUAGUUUAUUUUCACAUGUCCUUCCAUUUUUAACAUGGGAUAGCACCGUUGUGAUGUAUCGGUUCCAUACAUGACUUUCGAGGAAGAAAUCUUUUAGGAGUUGUAAAGAGGGUGGAACUAGAAGAUUUAUAGGAGGUGGACCUUCUAGUUAAAAGAGAAAAGUAAAUGAGAUAUCAAAUUUGUGUCCUUCCAAUUGGAUGGAUUUUUCAAUGUACCUAUAAUGCAGUUUGAUACAUCACGUAUCUUAAUAGAAGUGGAUGGAUACUUAAAAAUAAAAAAACUUAUCUCCACUCAUCUUAUAGCACGUGAUGUACUAGGCAGUGUUUCGGUCACAUAGAAAAAUCUGUUCUCCAAUUGAUGUAGUAUGUCUACACCUCCCAAAAAUAUAAAUGUGACUUUUAAAUCUCAAAUUUGCAUUUCUCAACAAUAAUUCUUUUCUUACAAGAAAUACAAACAAAAUUAAAAGUACGUUAUCGCUUUAUGCAUUAUCGGGGCGCCAAGAAAAAGAGGAAUUAGGCCAUCACCAAUGUAGCCUGUAUUAAGACACAAACAAAAACUUCACGUAUCGAUCGGUACUUGGUAAGCAGAAAAAUGCUCCUUGAAAGCCAAAUCGGAGAUCGACCAGACACCGAAAACCCCCAAAACCCCAACAAAAAGUCUUAAGCCCUUCUCACUUCUGCGUCCUCCGCUCAAUUACUCUCCAAAUCCCACCAACCAUCAAUGUCCGACCCAAGCUCCACCGCAGGCAACGGCAACUCCAACGGCAACUCCAACGACAACUCCGUCACCAAGACUGCCGGCUUAGUGGUGUUCUCCGGCAUCGCUAUGAGCAUUCUCAAAGCUCUAAACCCUUUUUAACAAAAACAGAAAUGAGCAAACUCCUCCACUCGCCGAGUCAACUCAACCCAUUCAGCUUCCGUCCCAGCUUCCUCUCCCUCCCCAGCAGCAACCCAUCACUGUCAAGGAACCACACCCUCCUCUUCGGGUACGUGCAAGUUACGAUUUGACAUUUUGGGGUCACCCAUUUCCCUGUUUGUUUCGAUUUGUCUGUGGAUUUUUGAAUUUUUAUUUUUAUUUGAGUGAUCAAAUCAUUAGUGUAUUUUACCAAAAACGCUUUACAUAUUCUGAUUUAGAUUUUGAUACAUUGGUCAUACUAUUUCUGGGGAUUUUAUUAAAUGCUAAGCCCAUUGACGUUGAUUUGCUUUGUGGAUUUUAUUGCAGAAAACCAUUACCAGGAUGGACCAAAAUGUGGAAGUCACGCGGAAGUCAUGGCAUAAAACGAUAGAGAUCGAGAAGGGAGACACUCUUUGGGGGCUCUCUAGAGAACAUGGGGUAAACCUUUUCAACUCUUUCAACUGUUAUGGUAUUACACGUGAUGUGGUGUUCUUAAGUUUAUACUUUUCUUUGAGAAUUUGCAUCCAUACGGUAAUUCUUGUGGUGUCGAAUUGCGCAUCUGGUAUUGAGAAGAAAAGAUCGGGCUUGCUUAGUUUACGAUUUUAAACCAUACGGUUUGUGAGAAAUAUGUUGGAUAGAUGUUGAAAACGCCUUUGACUUGCGCCGCCUUGUGAACUUGUGUUUUAAACCCCCAAAUAAAAGUAGCUGCCAAAUUUUAGACGGACUUUGAAAUGUGUAUUUUGCAUCUCAAUGGCUACAUUUCUGUAAAGUUCCUGCCGUUUUAUCCUUGAAUGUUUGGGAAAUUCAACAAGGUUAACCGCAUCAUUCAUGCUGUGAGGUUUCAAUUCUCCCAAGUGUUGCGAUAAGUAUGAAUCAAAGAAACCGAAAUUCCAGGCAACUCUAAUGAUAUAUAAUAACUUCCAAAAGCUUUAUAAGUCAAAAAACAAAUUAACAUACUUCGCUCCAAACGCUAACUCGAGCUUUGCAAAACUGAAAAUUAACAGAAGCCGGUCAUAGAGACUGAUCAAAUUAAUUUGACGAUCCUAAGGGCCUACGAAGCUGAGAGCUGCUGCGACUUGUUAAGAAUCACUCCCUCAUACUUGACCUGGAACCAUUUCAUGGCAUCAUCCUUUGUGACCCUGUGCUGGAUCCCGACGCGAGACUUGCACCUGCGACGUCGACCCACACGGUAUCCCGGACGCUCCAGAACAACGUAAAAGUCCAUUCCAUAGAUACCUGUAGAAGGAUCGUACCUGAAAGAAAAUAAAUAAAGAGGAAUGAGGAAACAACGGACUGAAUAAGAACGAAAAGUCAACAUACCAUGAUAGUAACAUCCCACUGGAUACAUGAAACAGGCAAAGCACCAAAGAGUCCACAAUACUGGGCAACGAUAACUAAUAAGGUAAAAUGGGAUGUCUUGAAAACAAAAAUCAAAUUCACCCAAAGUUUCUAUCAGUGAUUUCGUUGUUGGUGGAAAUAUCGAUAUGCAAAUUUAUGAAAAUUUUGAUGGUUAUAUCGAUAUCGGUUGCUUUCGACGAAAAUUAUGAAAUUUUGCAAUUAGGAAAAAAGUACUUUCAAAUUACAUUAACUUGUAGUAAGAUAAUAAAGGUACCCAUGACUCAGAUUUAAAAGAGUAAAUAAAUGGAGGAACAAGUAUUGUGGAAUAAAACGACUUACUUGAUUCCCAAAUCAAUGUGCUCCUGGAUUCCAAAUCCAAAACAACCAGUGUCACUGAAGUUCCUUCGUAGCAACUCAUAUUCCUUGACCUUCAAACCGCUCUCCAAAAGUUGCAUCGCCUUGUCACCCCUGACAGUGACGUAACAUGCAAUCUUCUCAUUACGCCUGAUGCCAAAGGAUCGAACAGUGUACCUUGCUAGAUAUAGCAAGUGAGAAAAUCACAUAUGUAUACGGUAUGAAAUAGAUGAAAAUAUACAACAAAUAAUCAGAAACCAAAUGAACAAUUACCAUCCAAUAUGUUGUAGAAAAAGAAAACUAAAAAAAUUCAUACAUUCAAAAUACAUAGUUCCAUAAAGCUAAAAACGGAAGAGGCUAGUCUAUAAGCAAAAAUAUUUUGUACCAGGCAAAUUUAACCCAGACUUACGUCAAACCGCUGUACUCCUUAACAACUAAGUCAUUAGCCAAUACCUUAAACACAUCUAACUAGAAGGGAAAAAAGCACAGAAACAGAACGAAGUCCACACUCAAUUCAACUUUCGGCCUUUUGAAGCAUUGUAGACAAAAUUGCUCAACUGCAGAAGCAAUCAAAAAGCAAAAAUAUAGACGUACUGAUUAAACACAGAGAAUAAGAUCAUACGCAAAAACUAUCCCACGAAUCCACAAUACAGAUAAAAUUAGAAAACUCAUACUGCACUCAAAGUCAAUUUCGAUUCCGAAAACACGUCAAAAAACCAGUAGUCAACCCCAAUCCCAGAACCCAUGAAAAGCAUACAAAUUUCUAGCUGCAGACUGAUGAAACGAUGCAAAACUGAAUUACCACUAAAAUUCAAACGGGUAAAAAAAUUACCUUUGGAGAAAACGGGUGUUUGGCCACUGAGUUGCUCCAACACCUUCAAACAAAAAACAAUUAAAUCAAUUAUAACAGUACAUAUACAUUCAUAUACUAUGAGUAAGUAGUACAGGAUUCGUGUGGGAUGGGUGGUGAGGUUAGCAAUAGGGUGUACCUUGGCGGCUCUCGUGAGUCGAUCUCCGCUCUCACCGACGGAGAUGUUGAGGACCAGCUUCUGGACCUUGAUCUCCCUCAUAGGGUUCGCUAACUUUUUCUCUUCAGCCUGCAUUUCCACACCCCACAAAAACCAACUCACGAUUACCAAACUUGAUUAACACCCAAAUGCAGAAAUUAAACAUUGAAACCGAUGAGAGAGAGAGACCAUUUGGGAUUGGCGGGUAGCAGCCGCAGGAGGGUUCUGGGAUGAAGAGUGAGAGAGAGGCAAGAACCCUAAUGUGACCAGGGGAUGCAGUCCUACAGAGCUAGGGUUUUUGAUGGGAGUGUAUUCUUUUCAGCAACAAUUUUGUUUUCGAUUUAGAGACAGAAUUACCCCUUUUGGACUUUGAAAAUUACAGUUUUGUUUCUAUAUAGUCAUUUGCAUCACUCAUUUCUACUUUCAUUUUUAAUUUGAUGGGGAACUAGGGUUUAAGGCUUAUUUUCACCACCGUUCCCUAAGGGCUGGUUUGGUAUUACUGUGCUUUGAUAAAAAACUGCUGUGAGAAUAAGCGGUUGUGCUGUGAGAAUAAGCGGCUGUAAAAUAAAUCAGUAGAGUGUUUGGUAAACUUUUUUGUAAAAGUGCUUUUGGAAAAAAAAAAGUCUGAUAGUGAGUCUUUUCAUUAAAGGAGCACUGUAGCUCCAUGUGCUUUGAAAAAAAGCCAGUUUUCCAAAGCUACAAAUAGCAGCUUCAGCCUUUUCCUUUGAUUUUGGCUUAUUCUCACAGCAGCUUCCAAAAUAAGCCAUUUUUUUUAGUUUACCAAACACCUAAAACCCUCACAACUUUUUUUCAUGGGUGCUUUUUUAUAAGCACCUCACUCCCAAACCACCCCUAAAACUCAACCUCAAUUUUACGUUGGCUCUGGAACUUGUAUAGACAAAUUAAGAUUUGAAAUCAUAGUAUAAUCAAUUUUUUUUUUCUUUUUUGGGCUACGGUAUAAUCAAACUUUCAAAGUAAAAUUUAACAUGAUUUUUUAGAAUGCAUUCAAAUCCAAAUGUAGUCAAUUAGAAUUUCAAAAAAAUCCAUAUGUCUAGUUGUAUUGAGAAUGCAAAAGAUUUCCUACAAUUUCAAUGCGUGAUGAAUUUUGAUGGAUUUGAGGGUAGGUGGUAUAAAUAGUCAAGGCCAUAAAAAAUCAAACCCAACGCUUUUCUUUUAUUUGAAUACUAGCGUAUGCUUACGGACAAUACUUGCAUGCUGAAUGGUCAGCAUACCAACAUUACUGACCACUACGUGGAGCAAUUUAAUGUAAACAUCUGUCAUUUGAAACCUAUCCUAAUAAUUAAAUUGACAAAUGUUUACUUGUUCAAAUGACAGAUGUUCACAUUAAAUUGAUCCACAUAAUGGUCAGUAAUGUUGGUGUAUGUUAACAUUUUUUUUUGUUUUUAAAAUGGGAAGGAGAGAGGUACAAAGUGGAAGGGAUGUUUUUGUUUUUCUAUUUUUAAUAUUAGAUAUAUGUUAAAAUCACAUAUAGGUGAUGCUUUAAUAAAAAAUAACAAUUUUUGAUUUGGUGAAAUUACAUUGCCCAUAUAUAUAUAUAUAAUUUUUUUUUUUUGGUGAUAGAAGACUAAAUAAUAUUUUCACCCACCUUUCGUUGACAAAGAAUAGGUAGUUUUGAUAUUUAACAACGAUGUUUGUUUAGAUAUAUAUACUUCGAGUUUUUUCUGUCGUUUAAAGAUAUGUAAAUUUUCAUAGGCAGAGAGACUUGUGCAAGGAGAGGGUACAGGGAACGGGAGGGAAAGGGAGGAUCUGGGUAAUUGAAAUGAUGUUGAAUUUAUGGAUUCCAACUAGGGGUGGUUAAGUAUGGGAUCCCAAACUGAAAAUGGAAUCCUGAAUCCCAAAUCGAAAAUUUUCGGGACAGGAAUUUGAAGACCAAUCCUGAACCAAAAUUUCGUAAUUCCUAAAAUGUUUUCGAUAUUUCGAGAUGGAUCGGGACUGGAUUUUGGGUUUUGGAUUUUUAGGCUGAAUUUUGAGAUUUUUGGGCUGUGGGCUAAAAUUUGAGCUCUUGGCCCGAAAUAUUGUUGCUUAAUUUCAUGUCAAUUGAAAUUUAGGCUUUUUACCUCAUACCAUUUUGAAAUUUCAUACUAAUUGAAAUACCAAUUCAUUCUUACCAAGUCAAAUUAACAUUCUAAAGUUCCAAACUACUUAAUUUCAUACUUCACUUUCUAAUAUAGUCUACUUUCUAAUAUCGUGCUACGAUGGAGGCUGGGAUGUGACAUAAUGGUAUCAGAGCCACUCUGCCAUUUAGUGCAGAUGUUCUGGCGAGGACGUCGGGUUCCCCUUAAGUGAGGUGGAUUGUAAGAUCCCACAUCGACCAACGGAGAGGUGGUGAUGUGCCUUAUAUGUACAUGCUCCUUCCCUAUAACACGAGGCCUUUUGGGAACUCACUAGCUCUGGAUCCCAGAAAAACUCCAAAGUUAAGUGAGUUUGGGCGAGAGCAGUCUUAGGAUAGGUGACCCCCCUGGGAAGUUCUCUAGUCGAAACCCAAAAAAAAAACCGUGAGGGAAUGGUAAGCCCAGAGCGGACAAUAUCGUGCUAUGGCGAAGGCUGGGAUGUGACAGAAUGGUAUCAUAGCCACUCUGUCGUUCGGUGCAGAUGUGUCGGCGAAGACACCGGGUUCCCCUUAAGUGGUGUGGAUUGUAAGAUCCCACAUCGACCAACGGAGAUAGGGUGAUAUGCCGUAUAUGUACAUGCUCUCUUCCCUCUAGCAUGAGGCCUUUUGGGAACUCACUAGCUCUGGAUUCCAUCGAAACUCCGAAGUUAAACGAGUUAGGGCGAGAGCAUUCCCAGGAUAGGUAACCCAUUGGGAAAUUCUAGUCUGAGCUCCCAUAAACAAAUGCGUAAGGGAAUGUUAAGCCCAAAGCGAACAAUAUCGUGUUAGGGCGGAGUCGAGACUGGGAUGUGACAGAAUGGUAUUAGAGCCACUAUGCCGUUCGGUGCGAGUGUGCUGGUGAUUACGCCGAGUUCCCCUUAAGUGGGGUGGAUUGUAAGAUCUCACAUCAACCAAUGGAGAGGGGGUGAUGUGCCUUAUAUGUACAUGAUCCCCUCCCUAUAGCACGAGGCCUUUUGGGAACUCAUUGGCUCCAAAUCCCAUAAGAACUCCAAAGUUAAGUGAGUUUGGGUGAAAACAGUCCUAGGAUGGGUGACCCCCUAGGAAGUUCUCGUGCUGAAACCCAAAAACAAAAUCGUGAGGGAAUGGUAAGCCCAGAGCUGACAAUAUAGUGCUACGGCGGAGUUGAGUCUGGGAUGUGACACUACUAUCAAACUACUUAAAUUCAACAUUCAAUAUACAUGCAACCAAAAUAAAAUAAGUAACAAACAAAAAGCAAAAAAAUAAGUUACAAACUAAAAGCAAAGAGAAAAGUUUAAAUUAAGUUCAUGAAGAUUGCCCCCUUCAGCCCAUUCAGCCCAUUCAGCCCCAUGCUCUUGUUGAUGGUUGUGGUUAAUCCAUUGUUGUACUUGUUGGUUGUUGAUCCCUUUCCAUGCUUGUUGAUGGUUUACCCCUUCCCAUUCUUGUUAGUUGAACUCUUCCCUUUCCCCUUGGCAUUGAUGGUUGAACUCUUCCCCUUCCCCUUGAAAUGAGUGCUCGUGGAGGUAUUGAUUGACUUUGACGUUGUUGAACUUGAACUUGAGGUGGUGGAGGAGGUAGAGGUGACAUUUCAUUUCUUUGAGUUGAAUUCUCCUCACUUCCCAAAUUAGGCGUCCCUAAAACAAUAAGCCACACAUUAUUUAGAUUGAAUUAUAGAAAUAGAAUAAUAAAUAUUAAGAAAAUAAAAAAGGGAAAUCAAAUUAUUCACUUACUUUUUUCUAAGCAUUCAAGUUCCUUGUAGAAAAUGAAUUUGUUGAGUGUAUGCUCCUUGUAGAAACAAAAUUCAUUCCCCCUAAGCCAAUCACUAAUACACACUAAAGCCUUAUCCGUUUUAGGUGUUAAGGAAGCUCUAAAAUUAUUGACAACUCUCAUACGAAAACUAAAUGCAUUCUCAUUAGCAACGGUACUAUUAGGAAGAGCAAAAAAUCCCUAGCAACUUUGCCAAGAGUUUGAUAUGUCCACUAUUUCCCUUCCACCAAUCCAAGAGAUUUAAACCACCAUAUGUUUGGCUUUCAUGUGGAUCGUUGAAGUACAUUUCCACUUCAUUGGUUAUCUCAUUUUUAUCCUUGCUUUCACCUCCCUUAUUUUGUCUCAUCCGUAGCCGAGCUCUUCUACAUUUGUCUCCAACAUUUCAAAUUUUUACCUCGAGUUGAGUGCUUGGGCCACAAAGAGAAUAAGGUUCACAUUUUCAAUGUCACCCCAAUAUUUGUCAAACUUGAGUUUCAUAGAAAUAGACAUUCUUUGCAAAGUGGUGUUAGAGGUGUUCAAAAUUUGUUUUUGUAUCUCCACUUCCAAAGCAAUCACCGUGCCGAGUUUUAAGUUUGAAGUUGCAGUAAGGGUUGUACUUAUGGUGAAGGUGGCAUCAUAAAACUUUUUGAGAAAGUGAGCAAAAACUCAUCGACCUCUCCCAAUCAUCCACCCCGAAUGACCCACCUGCUUGGCCUUUGUUGUCAACCCAUUAACCUCUUUAGAGACCUUUUUGUUAAAGUAAGCGAUACAAGUGUCACACUCAAAGGCCAUCCUAGCAAACACUUAUUUAAACUUGAAAGCCCUAUUUAAGCAUUUCAUAGGUGGCAUUACACUUUGUGAGUGUGACAACAUCAAAAGGGAUACUUGAUAUCUUAUCAAGUCUCUUCAAGAUGCAAUAUUCCGUAAAAGACUCCAACCUCACAGGGAUGAGUGUAAAAACUUCACACAAUUUCUUAUGGUCUCAAUCUCACUGCUAAUAUUCGCCAUUCCAUCCUUAACUAUCAAAUUGAGGAUGUGACAAGCACACAUCGUGCAAGUGAGCCCCAUUGAGUAAAACAUUACCAAUUGACUUGAGCUCUUCAUGCAUGCAAUAACAGUGUCAUUUGCACUAUCCUUGUCAACCGUAAUGCUAAACACCAUGUCUAUGCCCUAAUCAUUCAAGCAAAUCUCUAGACACCUUCCAAUGUCAUCACCUUUGCGAGAUGUAAUUUGGACAAAGUUUAGGAUCCUCUUAUGCAAUGCCCUAUUGGUUACAAAAAGUAUUUUAGAAGCAAAACAAUUGUUGAAUUAUUCAAGGUUCAUCAAACUCAUUAUGCACUAUUUUCUUGUUUAAUUUUCAAUCUUUAAUUUAUUCGUACUUUUAUACGUUACUUGCAUGUUAUGGCAUCGUCACCUUUUAAGUGGCAGCCAACAUGUCUCGAUUUAAGUGCCCACGUGGAUAUCCAGGUUAAAGUGUGUCAGUAAUGAUCUAUUUGCUCGGGUCAAGCGUUUUAGGGAUAUACACUAGAAUUACGUCCUUCGAUAUAAGUAAGUGAUGUGAAAAUUAACUUGACACACAAAUUAAACCCUAUUGUUGACAAUUGUAGUAAAGAUGCAAGUAGGGAUCGUUCUAGACCGGGGAUUAAUUAGGGAUGCUAAUCUACUAAAAACUGACUUAAGAACACAAAACUAAACUUAAAAACAGAAAACUAGACUCUAAGACUCUUAACUAGACUUAUAUAACUCAAAACAAACUAAACUAACUCAAAACAGCACAAAAUAAUAAAAAAAAAGACUCAAAACUAACUCUAAAGAGUUAUUUGGACGAAUUUAAGACUAGUAAGACUUAAAACACUAAUUGGACAGAUUUAAACAAGUUUCUAACUAAACUAACACAUUUAAUUAAAGGGGGCAUUGUUUUGACGAAAUUAAAACUAAAAUAAAGAACUUGCAGAAACAAAGCAAAUUAAAAACGAAAUUGAGUGAAUUGAAUGGUGAAAAGCUAGCUAGAGGAUUCUUCUCCACACAUGAAACAUAUGCAGCAUAAAUUGAUUUCCAUUAUUGUUUCUUUAAACCAUGAAUGACGAUGACCCAAAUUAAUCGUGAAAAGCACAAAUUAACUUUCAGAUUUUCCUAAGUUCAUUGAAUUGGAUGGAAUACACAUCGGCAACCAAAUUAUUCUUCUCAAGUUCCCUAUAUGAACAACAUGAUAGAGAUACAAUCAAAGAUCAUAAAAUUCAAUGAAAAUCAUAAGCACUGACAAGGCAAUUGUAACUAUGAACUGCAUGAUACUCCUGCCAUGGAUUUACUUAACGCGAUUGUGACUAGCAACCUCCACUACUUAUAAAUAUAAGUUCAUAACGACUAGGUGAAACUCCCUUAUAUUUUAGCAUCAGAUUCAUGCAUGCAAAUUAAGUGUGCACCCUUAAUCAACAUACAUAAAUAAGUUCUCAAUCAACCAGAUAAGUAAAUCACAUUCAUGUUUUACGAAACAAUAACUGAAGAUAAUCAAUUCAUAUAAAGCAUAAGUUCAUGGCUUCGAAUUCACCUCUAACUAAUAAGAAAAUUAGUUACACAUAUUCAUAACAAUUGAAAAGCAAUCUGAAAUAAACAUGGAAACAAAACAAGGGAAGAAAGAACUCUAGAAACUCCAAAGGAUGCAGAUAGGCUUGCGGCACACUCCUCAUUCUCCAAUGGACGUCACGGCCAGGUCUUGUCUUCUCUCCUCUGCGGCAAAAAACGGAUUUCUGAAUGAGUGGUAGUGUAGAACGAAUUCUGGUGUGGUUGUAGAAUAUAUGGGGGUAAGUGGUGCAGAACAUAUAAAUAUAUAUAUAGCAUGGCUGAAAACCCUCAGAAUUAGGUCUAGGGUUUAAAGGGUGCGGCACAUAUUGCUUGGGCCUCAAGAGAAGGGUCAAAGCCUUAUUAAUUUUUGAAAAGACUUUGCACAAUCCAAAUCCAAUAAGAAAAAGGCUAGCACAAUCAAAAUCCAAAGGGGAAAAAGGGAUAGAAAGUUGCGGCAUACUUAGAGGGAAAAAGGAAUGGAUUGCAAGGCAAGGAAAAGGCCUUCUAGAAAGGGUAGAGGCGCCACUUUUCUAGGGAAUCCAGAAACAAUGUGUUUUGUGGCAGAAAUUGGGACUUCUAGAAAGAUUUGGGGUGCCACUUUGUAGGGAAUUCUAGAAACAAUGUUAUGUGGCUGAUUUCUAGAAGAACAAGGCCUAAAAACAUGUAGCACUAAUGUAGGAACAGAUAAGGCCUUCUAGAAAGGUUUCUAGGUGAUUUAAAUUAGAAAUUAACUCCCCCUUGCAGAAGGAAUUAAGUUAGGAAAAGAUUAGGAUAGGAUAAGAUAAGAUAAGGUUAGUUACAGUUUGGAUAAGGUUUGGAUAAUGUUCAUUCUUUCUUGCUGAUUCCUUAUCUUCCAAGUCUUGAAAUAAUUUCUCCAGAUUUGUAGCACAUUCCUAGCCUCAUUUAAGCACUAAAAAGGUCUAUCCAACUUGCUCCAUAUGCAUGCAAUCCAUUUCAACCCAAAACUGCACCAAAAUGCACCAAAAUGCACUUUCUUGCCAACUUUGCCAUUAGGACCUACAAACACAUGAAAAUAGCUUAAAACACUAUAAUAAGCAUAAACUAACUAAGUAAAUGCAAGAAAACAUGCUAACUAAGUCGCAUAAAUAUGCUCCUAUUAGUAAGUAUAUCAUAUUAUUUUUAAUUAACAUGUAUAGUUUAAGUAUGUUGUAUUAUUUUAAAUUUUCAUGUCUAUUUUAAAUAUAUUUGUUACUAUGUUUAUGUAUUCAGUCCGUAACAAUGUAUUAAAAGGCUGAGGUGUAGACAAGGCGUCCGAGUGAUAGCCUCGCCUAGGUGUGAGGCGAAGCCUCACGAGAUUAAUUUGUUUUUAAUAUAUAUGUUUUAUAUAUUAUACAUAUAAUUGUAUAAAAAAUAAUUCUUUGUAAAAUAAACAUCCAUUCUCAAUUUAUCAUUCAAAUCCAUAGUCAUUCAAAAGAUAAUAUCAUCUAAUUUCAUCAUUCAAAGGUAAUAUCAUCCAAAUUCAUCAUUCAAAAGGUAAUACAAACAAAGAAAUCAAUCAUUCAUCCAAAUCAUCUUCAUCUAUAUCAAAAUACAAACAAAGAAAUCAGUCAUUCAUCAAAAUCCUCUUCAUCUAAAUCAAAGGCGACAUCAUCCUCUUCAUUGCCAAAUCUAGAUAAACUUGUACAGUAUGUCAUCAAUUCAUCAAAUGAAUCUUCUGAAUUAUACCCCAAAUUUAUUCGGCUUGAGGAUCCUUCAUUACCCGCUUCCUUUUGUAUGUAAUAGGAUCUCAAGGUUGAGUAGGCUUGCGAGGAGGAGUAGGCUCACGAGGAGGAGGAGGAGGAGGAGGAGAAGACGCUCUAGGCUCUCAAAUGUAUGGGCCACCUUCAUAAACCGGUGGUGGCACAUAUGAUCUUCAGGAAGAGCAGGAUCUUCUAUCUUUGUUAUCCAUUCAUCAUUGGAGGUAAUUUCUUCCACAACAAUGGGAUCAUGCUUCCUCCUCCUUUUAAGACUUCUCUCUUGUGGAAGAAAUUGCAUCCAAGGGGGUCUCUCCUCCGAAUCAAGCUCUCUCAAGACACAAACAAGAGGAAGAACACUCUUAAUGCAAAAGGAAAACUCUACCCCAAAACUCACAAUCAUGUAGCACAUGAUGCUUAGCCAACUUUGCUUUACAGGAUUUUGCAUUGGUACUUUCCGACCAUUCUUGAGGAGCAAACAAAGCAACAAGAUUUUCCUUUUGCUUUUGUAAAUGUUGAAGUGUAAGGAAAUAAGUGGCAAACCCAGUAACUGCACGGACAAAGAAUUUCUGAAUUGUUGGUGUACUUUCUCAUUAAAGCUAGUACCCAUUGAUGCCCAUAUAGAUACUUUGAAGAGUAAAUUGCAGCUAUGGUCCCUUAACUUUAACUCAAUUGGAGCAAUGGUCCCUCAACUAAAAAUCCAUUACCAUUGGUCCAUCAACUCAUCAAAACGUGCAUAUAUAGUCCCUCAACUAAAAAUCCAUUACCAUUGGUCUCUCAACUUUAAUUCAACUGGAGAAAUGGUCCCUUAACUUUAACCCAAUUGUAGCAAUGGUCAUUCCAACAUAACUCGUUUUGACAAAUUUUAACGUAGUUGACGAAAAGGACCAUAAUUACACACUUUGAUGAGUUGAGGGACCCUAAUUGUAUAAAUGGUCAUUCCAACAUAACUUAUUUUGACGAAAUUUUGAUGAAAUUGAUGAAAAUGACCAUAGCUACACAUUUUGAUAAGUUGAGGGACCAAUGGUAAUGGAUUUUUAGUUGAGGGACCAUUGCUCCAAUUUGAUUAAAGUUGAGGGAUCAUUGUUACAAUUUACUCUACUUUGAAAUACACCUAGAAAUAUCUUCUAGCAUCAAAUCAAUGGGUACUAGCUUUGAUGAGAAUUGAGUGUGUCAUCAAACCAUGUCAUCUUAGAGAUAUCUUCUAGCAUCAAAUCAAUGCAAUGAGCUGUACAUGGAGUCCACCACACAUUCUCUUUCCUCUCCAUAAGUUUUGCCCUGACAUUCUUGUAGUUCGAAGCAUUGUCAAAUAUAACUUGAGUCACAUUCUCCUCCCAAAUUUCUUGAAUAACAUUAUCCAAAUAGCCAUACAACAAAUCUCCAUUCUUAAUAAAGGUCGAUGCAUCAACCAAUUUCAAGAACCAAGUACCUUGGGGGCUAUUGACAAGAAAAUUGAUUAAACGCCUACUUUUGCCAUCUUACCAUCCAUCCGACAUAAUAGUGCAUCCAUAUCUCUUCCAAGCCUUUACAUGUUCUUUCAUCAUGCUUUGUACAUCCUUAACUUCUUAUUUGAGCAUCCAAGUCCUAUAGUCAUGACUUGUAGGAACAUCAAAGUUGGGACUAAAAUUGAAUACCGCUUUCAUUGCUUUAACAUAAUAUUCGUUGUUUGUUGCAUUGAAUGGAAUGGCACUAGUGUAGAACCAUUGUGCAAGUGCUCGGGAUGCUUGUUUUCUUUCUUCUUUUUUGAAAGGUGUUGAUGCACAAAAUCAGUGAGGACUUUGGUACAACAGAAAGUGUUAAGUUUGUGACCUUCGCUAGAUUGCUCCGAUCACUAGUGUGGAUAAGUAUGUAAAUGGAUAGGGACAGGGAAGCAAACACAAGAUGUACAUGGUUCACCCAGAUUGGCUACAUCCACGGAGUAGAGGAGUUCUCAUUAAUUGUGAAGGGUGUACAUAAGUACAUAUGUUCAAGCUCUCCUUUAGUGAGUACUUGUGAAUGAUUUAGUACAAAUGACAUUUAGAAAUAUUGUGAGAGAAUGAUCUCUAUUUAUAAAAGAGAGUUUCUAGUUUCAUUUUGACAUUGACAUGUGUCGUGUUGUGAUUGGCUUCUGAUGUCGACACGUGUCAUGCUGUGAUUGGCCUCCUGGUUGGAGGGAAACUCUUCUGGGUCCUUGACGGUAUAACGUUGACCGGUGCUUAGUAGUUUCAGGAUUAGUCAAGUAUGGUACAAACAGUGCUCCCUUAAGUUUCCGAGUGAAGGAAGCUCUUCGGUUGGGAACUUGCAAGAUCCAAGCCAUUGAGUGUGGUAUCAUUUUCACUUACCUUAUCUGUCUCAUAUGUAGAUGUGGCAUUUUCUCUGGAAGUACUUUUCCUCCAUCCAGGGGUGGUAUCUUUAAUUGAUGAAGAUGCACAAGGUAAUGUAUCAAAUUCACUUGAAGCUUACUUGUAGUUUCGGGCUUGGUCAAGUGCGAUACAAACCCUAUAGUAAGAGUCCCCCAAGUCGUCGAGGUAGGUUAUUUGCCGAAGAAGGUAAUAGACAAGGUAAGCAAUCAGACUUCCAAGCAAGCAACCUGGAUCAGAGGUUUGACUUUGGCUUCCGGUUAAUUGUUCUCCUUCUCAUUGUGUCGUAAAUAGCAACAAGGAUAAGGAGAAGCAAAUGGAGAAGAGAUGAUAUGAGAUACUUUUGCUUUUGAAGAAGUAACUUUUCACAGGCUUAUUCUUGAACUGGGCUGGAGGGUUUUCUGGUUUCCUCCAGAGUACAAGGCCGGCUUAAGAAUUUGAGGGUCAAAACAAGUUCAUCAAAUCUAGAGUACGUUUAACCCUGAUGAUAUGGGAUACUUUUGCUGUUGACAAAGCAGUGGAUGUAUCAGCACGUGUUCUGUUACGCUUGUCUCCACAUGCUUCCUUGUAUCAUUCUCACUUGCCCUAUCUGUUCCUCAGGCAGAUGUGGUAUCUUCUCUGGAAGCAUAAGAUGUUGAAGAUGAGUACUCGAAAGCAAUGCCAGGUAAGUAAUCAGGCAAGGAAGUUCCAGGCAGUCAGUUCCUAACUGGAAGCUUGAUUCCAAGUGCUGACUGAUUGCUCUCUUUCUCCUUGUCUUGCAGGUAAGAACAAGGCCAAAGGAAAAGACAGGGAAAAAGCAUGAUAUGGGAUACUCUUGCUUUUAACCCUGAUGAUAUGAGAUACUCUUGCUCUGGUGUGGCUUAUUUGCAGAGGUAUUAUUAGGAGGAAAAGAAACUGAGUAGUUCGAGAGACUCUGCUGAGAGUGCCCUCUUGGAUGUGAAGAAAAGUUAGCAUUUUCUUUUUAUUUGCAAGUCUGCCUGGCUGUGGAGGAGGAGUCUCCCUAACAACAAGUAGUAGUGCUAUUCGUUUACCCUUCUUGGUCAUAGCAAUGUAGUGGGAGCUGCAAGCUUCAUGUGUUUUAACUUUGUUAGAGCACUUUGAAAAAGUGGUCUGUGGUAUCUGGAAAAGCUGAUGUUGCAUGUGAAGAUUGCAGACAAGCUUUAUCUAAGGAAAUCUAGCUCUUGAAGUUCGGAGAGUGGUGUCUCUUCGGUUUUCGAACAAGCAAUCUUAUCGGGGAUUUGGCUCUCAAGAUUCAGAGAACAGUGCCACUUCGAUUUUUGAGAAAGCCAUCACGUUGAGAGUCUGACUCUUGAGAUUCGGAGAGCAGUGUCUCUUCGAUUUUUAAGAAAGUAAUCCUGUUGGGAGUCUGGCUUUCGAGAUUUGGAGGGCGGUGCGUCUUCAAUUUUUGAGCACGUAAUCCUAUUGGAGUAUGACUCCUGAGAUUCGAAGAGCAAUGUCUCUUCGAUUUUUUGAGAAAGUAAUCCUGUUGGGAGUCUGACUCUCGAGAUUCGGAGGGCGAUGCCUCUUCGAUUUUUGAGCACAUAAUCCUGUUGGGAGUCUAGCUCUCGAGAUUCGGAGAGCGGUGCCUCUUCGAUUUUUGAGCAAGCAAUCUUGUUGGGAGUGUUUUCUCGAAUGUGAGUAAAGGUUGGGCAUUUUUGCCAGUCUGCCUUGCCACGGAGCACGGAGGUUGACACACAUUGGGACUUUCUUGUUAUCAAGCAGUGAUGCUGUUCUUUUACCCUUGUGGGUAAUAGUAUGGUAGCUGGACCUUCAAAAUUUAUGUGUCUAAACUUUGUCAGAGAUCUUUGGCAAAGUUAUCUGUGGUACCCGAGGAGCUGAUGUUGCGUGUGGAAAGUGGUGCCUCUUCGAUUUUUAAACCAACAGCCCUGUUGCCUUUUCUUUUAUAAGGGCACCAAUUGUGUGCAAGAAGUACAUUCAGAGAAUUAUUGCUUGUAGGAAUUUUCCCCUUACUUCAGAGAUUUAUUGCAUUCAUUUCUCCUUCAUCAUUUAUGAGAAUGUCUGGCCCAUCCGCCCGUCGUUUUGACUUAAACUUUGGUGAAGAGGCAGCCAUGCCUUCUCAAGACAACAUAUGGUGCCCAUCCUUCUUAUCCUCUACUGGUUCUCUUACCGUUGGGGACUCUGUGAUGAAGAAUGAUAUGACCGCUGCGGUGGUGGCUAGGAACCUUCUCACUCUCAAAGAUAACAGACUACUUUCCAAACGGUCUGAUGAGUUGGCUGUUAAGGAUUCUCUGGCUCUUAGUGUUCAGUGUGCAGGUUCUGUGUCUAAUAUGGCCCAACGCCUAUUUGCUCGAACCCGCCAAGUUGAAUCAUUGGCGGCUGAAGUGAUAAGUCUCAAACAGGAGAUCAGAGGGCUCAAGCAUGAGAAUAAACAGUUGCACAAGCUCGCACAUGACUAUGCUACAAACAUGAAGAGGAAGCUCGACCAGCUGCAGGAAUCUGAUGGUCAGAUUUUACUUGAUCAUCAGAGGUUUGUGGGUUUGUUCCAAAGGCAUUUAUUGCCUUCGUCUUCUGGGGCUGUACCGCGUAAUGAAACUCCAAAUGAUCAACCUUCGGUGCCUCCUCCUUCUGGGGUUCUGCCUAGUACUGAGGCUCCGAAUAAUCACCCUUUGGUGCCUCAUCUUUCUGGGGCUUUGCUGACCGCUGAGACUUCUCCUGAGCAACCUUUGUGAAGGCUCCCUUUUGUUUGUUUAUUUUGAUUCAUGUAUAUGUACAUAUUUGUAACUUAUCGGAGAUAUCAAUAAACAAGCUUUGCUUCAUUUCAACGUAUUGUGUUAAAUACACCAAGGCCUUCUUCACUAAGUUCUUUGAAUUUUUCCUUUUGUUGAAGCUUGUAUGUUGAAGCUUUGUGAGUGAAGCAUGUAGGUUGAGGUAGUGCUCCCUUAAUUUCCUGAGUGAGGAAAACUUCUCGAUUGGAGACUUGAAAAAAUCCAAGUCACUGAGUGGUCGUGAGACUUCCGAGUAUCAAGGUGCAGUAACAUAUGGUAGGAGUCCCCCAAGUCUCUGGUCGAGGGAGUUGAUGAAGGAGGUGUCUUGCUAGUAGCCAAGUUUCCAAAGUAACAAAACUUCACCAUUUUCCUUUCUAAGUGGUAGCCCAAAACUCAUCCUUCAUAUAUAUUUGUUAUAAAAGUUGUUAGGCCUAAAGAAGAGGAGGCCUAGGCAAUGUUUUUUUUUUUUGAAUUUUUGAAUUUUCGAAUUUUCGAAUUUUCAAAUUUCUGAAGAAUAUAUAUAUAUAUAUAUAUAUAUAUAUUUAUUUUUUUUUUUAAGCUUUAUAGGUGAAGCUUUGAUGUUGAAGCUUUGUUGGGUACCAUGAAUUGAUUUUGCUUCACACUAUCUUGAUCAAGAUAGUGUGAAGCUUUUGUAGGUGAAGCUUUUGUGUUGAAGCUUUGUAGGUGAAGCUUUUGUAGGUGAAGCUUUUGUGGGUGAAGCUUUUGUGGUGGGUGAAGCUUUUAUGGGGUACCAUGAAUUGAUUUUGCUUCACACUAUCUUGAUCAAGAUAGUGUGAAGCUUUUGAGAAUUUGUAGUUGUCCUCCAUUGAUGAAGCUUUUGUAGGUGAAGCUAUUGUGGGUGAAGCUAUUGUGGGUGAAGCUUUUGUGGGUGAAGCUUUGGAGUUGAAGCUUUUGUUGGGUACCAUGAAUUGAUUUUGCUGCACACUAUCUUGAUCAAGAUAGUGUGAAGCUUUUGAGAAUUUGUAAUUGUCCUCCAUUGAUGAAGCUUUUGUUGGUGAAGCUUUUGUGGUGAAGCUUUGUUGGGUACCACGAAUUGAUUUUGCUUCACACUAUCUUGAUCAAGAUAGUGUGAAGCUUUUGAGAAUUUGUAGUUGUCCUCUAUUGAUGAAGCUUUGUUGAAUUUCCUUUUUUUUUUGGAAACUAGAAAUUUGAAAAUGUAGGAGAGACAAGAUAUACAAAUUUUGCUUCCACACUGUUGGGCAAGAGAUUGUGAUGCAAGCCACACCUUGUAAUAGUCGAAGGUUUGGAUGAACCAUAUAAAUUGAAUUUGCUUCGAACAAUCUUGAAUUUGCUUCGAAGGUUUGAGAAUUGUAGUUGCCCUCCAUUGAUGAAGCUCAUGUUGGCACCAUAAAUUGGUUUUGCUUCACACUGUUUUGAUCAAGAGUGUGUGAAGCUUUUGAGAAUUGUGGUUGCCUUCCAUUGAUGAAGCUCUUGUUGGCACCAUAAAUUGGUUUUGCUUUACACUGUCUUGAUCAAGAGUGUGUGAAGCUUUUGAGAAUUAUGGUUGAACUCCUUUGAUGAAGCUUUUAUUGGCACCAUAAAUUGGUUUUGCUUCACACUGUCUUGAUCAAGAGUGUGUGAAGCUUUUGCGAAUUGUGGUUGCCCUCCAUUGAUGAAGCUCUUGUUGACACCAUAAAUUGGUUUUGCUUCACACUAUCUUGAUUAAGAGUGUGUGAAUCUUUUGAGAAUUGUGGUUGAACUUCUUUGAUGAAGCUCUUGUUGGCACCAUAAAUUGGUUUUGCUUUACACUGUCUUAAUCAAGAGUUUGUGAAGCUUUUGAGAAUUGUGGUUGAACUCCUUUGAUGAAGCUCUUGAAGCUUUUGUUGGCACCAUAAAUUGGUUUUGCUUCACACUGUCUUGAUCAAAAGUGUGUGAAGCUUUCUAUAAGUUGUAGUGUAUGCAUUUUUACAGAGGGGAAAUGUCUGAAGCAGAUGCAAGAGGGCUGAAUAGCUUGAUCUUCGUAUGUCAUGCACUGAAGUUGUUGUUGGCUUGCAAUAAGACUUUGUUGGUGACUAUAACUCUUGUUGGGCAUAAGUGCUCCCCUAGUUGAGUUGUUAAGCUUGAGGGUUUUUGAUUAUUUGUGAAUGCUAGGAGUUCAUAUGUACAAGUUGUACCACUCGUCUUCUGGUACGUGGAAUGAAUGGUAAGUUGCUUUCAUCACUUGGUUGGUGGUACGAAGGUGAGUUCCUUCAUCACAUUUCAUCACAUUUCAUCACUUGGUUGGUUGCACGAGGAUGAGUUCCUUCUUCACCUAGUUGGUGGCAUGAAUGGCAAGUUGCCAAAUGAUAUUAGAAUACGGGUUGUGCAUUUCAUCACCUGGUUGGUGGCAUGAAGGAGAGUACAGGUUGUACAUUUCAUCACCUGGUUAGUGGCAUGAAGAUGAGUUCCUUCUUCACCUGGUUGGUGGCAUGAGUGGCAAGUUGCCAAAUUAUAUUAGAGUACUGGUUGUACAUUUCAUCACCUGGUUGGUGGCAUGAAGGAGAGUAGGGGUUGUACAUUUCAUCACCUGGUUUGUGGCAUGAAGGAGAGUACGGGUUGUACAUUUCAUCACCUAGUUGGUGGCAUGAAGAUGAGUUCCUUCUUCACCUGGUUGGUGGCAUGAGUGGCAAGUUUCCAAAUGAUAUUAGAGUACGGGUUGUACAUUUCAUCACCUAGUUGGUGGCAUGAAGGAGAGUACGGAUUGUACAUUUCAUCACCUGGUUGGUGGCAUGAAGAUGAGUUCAUUCUUCACAUUUCAUCACUUGGUUGGUGAGAAUAAGGGCAAGGUGUCUAGGCACAUUGUAGCAAGUGUCGAAUGACACAAAAUAUGUUGAACCCUUUCAAAGCAUAGUUGGCUUAUGUAUGAAUAUGUUGGAAUGUAUGAUUGAACGAAUAUACUGUGAAGCUAUUCGUUUAUUUGUAUAGUCUUGUUGACAUAUACUUAGACUUUGUUUCAUGUUGGAAGCAUUCAUGUUGAAGCAUUGAACCCUAGUGUUUCAUUGCUAGGAAUGUAAGAGGAUUAGGACCGAGUUGUCUAAAUCACCUCUUUAUUAAAUUCAUGCCAAAUAGUCUUCGUUACAUAGGAUGCCGAAUGGCUGAAGCUUAACACUUGUACAAUGUGAGUUUACUUGUAAUAGUAUUUCAAGUGAUCAACGUUCUAUGGAUGGCCAAGGGUCUUGCCAUCAGAGCUUCUAAGCUUGUAAGAGCUAGGGCGACUGAUGCUAACAACUUCAAACGGUCCAUCCCAGUUUGGACUAUGCGUUCCUUCACUCAGGACUCUGUCACAGAGUAAUAUUUUCUUCAUACCCAGUCCCCCAUUUUGAAAGAACGAGGUUUGACCCUUGAGUCAUAGUAGUUGGAGAUACGCUGCUUGUAGGCGACAUUCCUCAAGUGAGCAUGGUUUCCGUGUUCCUCGACUAGAUCUAAGUUGAGGGUAAAUUGUUUGUCAUUUUCGCUUUGCACAUAGUUCUGGACUCGGAACAUUACUUGCUCAAACUCAAUUGGGACAACUGCCUCUGUACCAAAGUUAAGUGAGAAUGGGGUUUCUCUUGUUGAUGUCCGAUACGAAGUGCGGUGUGACCAAAGAACUUGGGGUACAAAUUCUGGCCAACAACCUUUAGCCUUGUCCAAGCUGGUUUUCAAAGUUCGCUUGAUUAUUUUGUUAAUGGCUUUAACUUGUCCAUUAGACUGGGGAUGAGCUGGGGAGGCAAAACAUAAGUUGAUGUUGAACUUAGAGCAGAACAUCCUGAACUUAUUGUUGUCGAACUGUCACCCGUUGUCAGUGACUAUCGCAUUGGGAACGCUGAAUCUGCAAAUGAUGUUCUUCCAUACGAAGUCUUCUAUUUUUACCUCAGUAAUGGUUGCCAAGGGUUCUACUUCGGCCCACUUUGUGAAGUAGUCAACUGCAACGAUUGCAUAGUGAACCUUGCCCUUCCUUACAGGCAUUGGGCCGAUCAAAUCAAGUCCCCAUUGGGCGAAGGGCCAAGGGCUAAUCAUAGGAGUGAGCGGCUCGGAAGGGGAGUGAGGAAUAGUUACGUAGCGUUGACACUUAUCACAUGAGUGGGAUAUUCUGAUGGCAUCUUGGUGGAGUGUUGGCCACUAAUAUCCUUGGCCAAAAGCCUUGUGUGCUAGGGAUCGAGAUCCAGCAUGAUCUCCGCAGACUCCUUCAUGUAUUUCCCGAAUGACAGUUUCCGCCUCUGCGAGCGUAAGGCAUUUUAGGUAUGGUAGAUUAAAACCCCGUUUGUAGAGUUGGUCAUUAAUGAUCAAGUAACAGGUAGCCUUGUAUCGAAUCUGCUUAGCUUGGACUUUGUCAUUUGGAAGGGUGCCAUGAACAAGGAAUCUAUAAAUCGGGGUAAUCCAACUAUCCCCCUGUUGUAAGUUGCACACUUCUGCAACUAUGGUGCUUGGUGCUGCCAACAAUUCGACCUGAAUUUUUCUCCCAAUCUUGUCUUUCACCGCUAAGGUGAGGCGAGCCAAAGCAUCUGCAUGACUGUUUGCCGCUUGAGGAAUUUAGGUAAUCUGGUAGUGGAAGUGCUUGAGCAACAAUUAUGUUUAUGCCAGAUAUGCUGCCAUGGAGCUAUCCUUAGCAUCAAAGUUGUUGGUGACCUGGUUAACCACCAAUUGGGAGUCACUGAAGAUAUCAAUUCGUUUAACUCCAAGGUGUUUGGCCAAACGUAAGCUUGUUAGGAGGGCUUCAUAUUCGGCCUCAUUGUUCGACGCCUUGAAUUUGAAACGAAGAACAUACUCUAUCGCCACUUUGUCAGAGGUCGUAAGGACUAGUCCUGCUCCACAACCCUGUUGGUUAGACGAGCCAUUAACAUAUAGACUCCAUGCUGCGACUGUUGGUUAUAUUUUCUAAGCUUCCGAGGGUAAUGAAACCACUUCUUGAGGCGUAGAAACAAUGUCAACAGGAUAUGUGAAGUCGACGAUGUAGUCUGCCAUUGCUUGGCCCUUUUCCGCUGGCUUUGGUUGGUAGGAGAUGUCAAACUCACCCAAUGCUAUCGCCCAUUUGAUCAUUCGCCCAGAAGUGUCAGGACUUUGGAGUAUCUGUCGAAGAUGAUGAUUGGUAAGCAUGAUGAUGGAGUGUGCUUGGAAGUAAGGGCGAAGUUUUCGAGCAGAUAUGACCAAUGCUAGAGCCAAUUUCUCAAUGUUGGAGUAUCGUGUCUUUGCAUCUUGUAAGGCCUUGCUAACGUAAUAGACAAGUCAUUCGACAUUACCAUCUUUUUGAAUGAGAACAAAACUUACUGCUGAAGCCAAUACCGAUAGAUGGAUAAUGAGAGUGUCACCAACCUCAGGUUUGGAGAGCAAAAGGGCUUUACUCAUGUAGUCUUUGAGGUUCUUAAAUGCCUCAACACAUUCAUCAGUCCAUGUAAUGUACUUCUUACUUCCCUUAAAUGCUUUGAAAAAAUGAGCACAUUUGUCUGUGGCCUUAGAGAUGAACCUAGUUAAGGCUGCCACAUUGCCAGUAAGGCUCUGGAUGUCUUUUGAAGUUACCGGUACCUUCAUGUCGAGGAUUGCUUUGAUCUUCUCGGGAUUAGCCUCAAUGCCUUGUUAGCUUAUCAUGAAGCCUAAGAAUUUGCCAGAGCCUACGCUGAAGGCACAUUUGUUGGGGUUCAACCUCAUUUGAUAUCUCUUCAGAAUGGUGAAAGUUUCAAAUAGGUUGGUGAUGUUUUGGUCAGCAUGUUUGCUCUUAACUAGCAUAUCAUCAACGUAAACUUCCAUGCUCUUCCCAAUCUGUUCGGUGAACAUUGAAUUGACCAGUCUUUGAUAAGUCGCUCCUACAUUCUUUAGGCCGAAGGGCAUGACUUUAUAGCAAUAUAGUCCCCUGUCAGUAGUGAAGGUUGUGUGUUCUUGGUCCGGAAGGUUCAUGAGGAUUUGGUUGUAUCCUGAGUAAGCAUCCAUGAAGCUUAGGAGUUCACACCCUGCCAUAGAGUCUAUAAGUCUGUCUAUGAGAGGAAGAGGAAAGCUAUCCUUCGGGCAUCUUUUGUUGAGGUCGGUGUAAUCGACACACAUUCUCCACAAGACCUUUUGGAGCAUGAGACUUUCCUUGGUCGGAUUCUUCUUAACAAUGACAACAUUUGCUACACAUAUUGGAUAAUUGACUUCGCGGACGAAGCCUAUGCCUUUGAGUUUUUCAACUUCUGCCUUCAUUGCUUCGUACCGUUCAACGUCAUAAGAUUUCGCUGCUGUCUCACUGGCUUGGUCUUGGGGUUAAUACUUAAGCGAUGAUAGAUGAUAUCGGGAAAGAUGCCUGGCAUGUCCUCGUAUGACCAGGCGCAGACCUCAGUGUUCUUUUGUAAAAAAGAGAUCAAUGCCAACCGAAUGGGUGGUGACAAGGUGGUGCCAAUCUUCAGCAGGUUGUGCUUACUGGGUGAAAAAGUCAUCUCGAGGAUCGUCGGGUUGACUGUUGCCAUCGUGAAGAUCCAAGUUGGCUUCGUCUGGGCUGGUCUUUAUGACUUAGUCAUGUAUAGAAAGGGUUUCCUUGGGCACAAACAGGUGUUGUUGCUUGACCGAAGUGUUGUAACAUGAUCGUGCACUAAGUUGAUCUAUUCUAAUGUAACCAUUGCCAUAAGGGGUUGGAAAUUUCAUCAACAACAUAUGUGUGGAUACCAUGGCCUUGAGAUCAUUGAUGCAUGUGCGUCUAAAGAUGACAUUGUAUGUCAUUGGGCAAUUAACCACUAGAAAGUUAGUGGUAAUGGUAGCUGUGUAAGGGCCUGUACCAAUGGUGAAAGGUAAAUGUAUGCUUCCCAAAGGUUGCACGAUAUCACCGGAGAAGCUUAUCAGAGGGAAAAUCGAGCGAUCGAGCAAGUGUUCAGCUACAUUAAGUGCCCUGAAAGCUUUAGCAACAUGAUAUUGACCGAAGCCCCCGUGUCUACGAGGAUUCGUCAUACUUCAAAGUUGGCUAUGUGAGCUUUCACGAUCAGUAAGCCGUUGUGAGGGUAGAUGAUACCUCUUUCUUCUUCAGAGUAGAAACAUAUUGGAUCCCAGUUAGGCUUUUGAUACUUACCUCCCCUGAUGUCUUCCACGUGAAACACUUGAUGGCCAGACCUUAAAGCUCGUUCACUAUUUUUCAUGGCCCUGUUGGAAGAUUUAGAUAUGGGUGUGCCACCACUUAUGGAAUAUAUCAUAUUUACCUAGCAUUGGUUACGGUUACUCCUUGGAGGGUGAAGGAUGAAUUGAUCAAUUUUUCCUUCAUGCCAAAGCUUCAAUAUGAUCACGAAGGGUGAUACACUUCUUGCCGUCAUGGUCUUUAUGCUCGUAGUAGCAGCAAAACGUGCCCGUGUUUUUCGUGGGCUUGUAAUCCGGGUGCCUCGGCUUUGGCUUCGGUAUUAGGUGUGCUAUGCUGGGGUAAAUGGCCACACAUGUGGUGUUCAAAGGUGUGUAUGCCUUAUGCCUCGGGGUAGGGGUUGUCCUGACACGUGCUUGACUCACUGUGUUGACUACCUAGGAUCGGGGAUUAUCAUAGUGAUACCCUUGGUUAUCGCGGUAGUGUCCCUUACUCUUUUUACUAAAAUGAGACUGGUGAGGAUGGAAAUCUUUCCUUUUUCCCUGAGAUUAAUAUGUCUGUUGACUUGGCAAGUAUUAAGUAAGGCAGAGUGAGGCACCGUUGCCGUUUGGAAGGUCGAGGUCUUCUCAUUUGGUUGGAUCUGGCUUUCACUCCCUACUUGUUGAUAAGGGGUGGCUAUGGGGGAUUUCCCUUGAUAUGUCUUUGCCUCGGCAGAGACAUGGUUGUAAGCCUGUGCCGUUACCUGAUCGGAUCAUAUUUAUAUAUAUUUUUACUUCGAAUUCACUCGUCUUUUCUUAGUUAGUUCCUUAUAUUUUUGAGCUAUUUACGUUAUUUUUGUGUUUAUAGGAUUUGUUAUGCAAAGAAAAUAAAAAUAGAACAAAUGAAAUUUUAUGUAAUAAAUUCGUCAAAAAUGUCUGUGUAGAUCAGCUUUUAAAUUAAAUUAAAAAAAAUAUAUAUAUAAUAAUGAUAAAUCAUGAUGAUGUUUGAAACAUCAUCAUGAUGGUUUUGUUUUGUAGAAGAAAAGAAAGGAACGGAUGGAGAAGAAGAAAAGAAAGGAAUAAAAAAGAAAAGAAGGAAUAAAAAAAUUAAAAGAAGAAUAAGUGAGUCCACACAUGAGGGAUCCAAAGAAAGAUAUACGAAAGAAGAAGAAAAAGGAGAAUCCAAGGCGUGAAAGGGAUAGAGGCGGGAGACAGAGAAGACUUGAAAAAGUGGGAAAUAAAAUAAUAAGAUAGAGAGGAGAAAGCAGCUGGCAGAGACGAAAUUGGGGGGGGGGGGAGAGAUGGAGCUGCCUUUGGCAGCACGGGGUCAGAGAGGAUAGAGAUACGUGAGGGAAGCAAAUAAGAAAGAAGAAAGAAAAAAAAGUGAGGGACUGACAGAAAAGCAGAGGGCUGCCCUUUGGGCAGCGUGAGGCUGCGCAGAAAUAAAAGGGACAGUGCGGCAUGGCAGGAGAGAAGUGACGCAGGGAGUGAGGGCAGAAGCACAGAAACGCAGCAGAUCUUAUUCUCUCGGUUAAAUCUUUCCAACUUAUGAUUAAUUUUUUGUUUAAUUUUAGAAUAAUGUGUAGCUAAAUUUAUUUUGGCUAGAGGUUAAUUCAAAGCCAUGAAUAUAUUUGUAAUAUGAAUUGAUUACCUUCGGUUGUGAUUUCAUAAGUUGUGAUUUCAAUUUACUUAUCCGUUCGUAUAAAAACUGAUUUGUGUAUGUUGGUUGAGAGUGCACGCUUAAUUUACAUGCAUGAAUUUGAUGCUAGAAUAUAAGUGAAUUUCACCUAAUCGUUAUGAACUUAUUUUCACAAGUAGUAAAGGUUGCUAGUCACAAUCACGUUAAGUAAAUUCUUGGCAAGAGUAUCAUGCUUUUCAUAGUUACGAAUGCAUCGUCAAUGCUUAUAGUUUUCACAAAGUUUAAUGAUCUUUGAUUGUAUCUCUAUUGUGCUUUUCACGUAGGGGACUUUUGAAGAAUGUUUUGAAUUGUUGUAUGCGUUUUCCCGUCCAAUUCAAUAACUUAAGGAAAACUUGAAGAUUAAAAAAGUGCUGUUCACGGUUAAUCUGGAGUAUUGAGAUUCACAAUUUUAUUGAAAGAACAACUGAAAAUCAAUUUAGGUUGCAUAUGUGUCAUGUGUGUGGAGAAGAACCCUCUAGCUAGUCCGUCAUUUAUCAUUUUACCUUAAUUUUAUGUUUUGUCAAUUCUGUAAUUUAAUUAAGUUUAAUUUACUUUUCAUCAAAACCAAACACCUAUCCAUUAUUAAAUUAUUUUAUUUAUUUAGUUUUCUUUAUUGUUAGUCUUUUAAUUUAAUUUCCGUCCAUUUCAGUUCCUAGUGUUUAAUUUGAUUGUUUUCAUUAUUUUGAGUUAUCCUAAGUGUGUUUCGAGUUAUUAGAGUUUUUAGCCUAGUUUUGUGUCCUUGAGUCUUAUUUAAUAUUUUUAAAUUAAUUUAGAAUAGAUUAGCAAUCCCUCCUAAUCCCCGGCCUAGAACGAUACCCUACUUACAUCCAUACUACAAUUGUCAAAAAGAGGGUUUAAUUUGUGUGUCAAGAAAUUCUCACAUCAAAUUUUGGCGCCGUUGCCGGGGAUUAGUAACUUUGCUAAUCCUUUUAUUUUUGUUUUUGUUUAUGUUUAUAUUGGUGUUUGUGUAUUUUACUUUUGAUAUUUGAUUUAUUUUUCUUUCUUUGAUUUUAGGCACAAAUGGAGCUGAGGGAAAUUUAAAGGAAAGAUGCGUCCGGCUAAAGACGUUAAAUCAAGCGCUUCUUGGGAGGCAACCAAGCAUUCAACGAAGGGAGACUUUGGAAUCGCUAACCCAAUCAGAUUUGCAUUUUUACACCCUUAUCUUUACUGCUUUCAUUUUGUUUUGUUUAGUUAGUUGUGUUAUUUGUUUGAUUUCUGUGAGUUUGUGUUAUUUAGUUUAAGUGUGGGGGAAGGUUAACCAAAGUCUUUCUACUUUAAUUUACAUAAAAAAAAAAAAAAAAAAAAAAUUUAAAAAAAUGAUAUAAAAAAAAAAAAAAAAAAAAAAAGAUAAAAUUUAAAAUUAAUGAUAAAAAAAAGUACAUAAAAAAAAAUAAUAAAAAAAAAAAAAAUAAAUAAAUAAUAAUAAUAAAAAAAGUACAAAUAUUUUACAAUGAUGUAAACUAAUAGUAUUCAUUGGUCGGGUGGUGCUUCAGUAGUAGGCGGGGCUUCAGCAGUCGGCGGGACCACAGAAGGAGGAGGCGGCAGAGGUUGAUCAGUUGGAGCUUCACUACGCGGUGCCGCUCCAGAAGACGAAGGCAGAUGUUGUUGGAACAAACCCACAAACCUCCGAUGAUCAAGUAAAAUUUGACCAUCGGUGUCCUGCAUCUGGUCAAUCUUCCUCUUCAUGCUGGUGGCAUAGCUGUGUGCGAGCUUGUGCAAUUUCCUUAUUCUCAUGCUUGAGCCCUUUAAUCUCUUGCUUGAGACUCUGUAUUUCAGCCACCAAGGAUUCAACGUGACGGGUUCGGGCAUAUAGGCGUUGGGCCAUGUUGGAUACGGAACCCGCACACUGCACACUGAGAGCCAGAGACUCCUUGACCGCCAAUUCAUCAGACCGCCUUGCGAGCAGUCUGUUAUCUCUGGGAGUGACAAGGUUUCGGGCCACCACCGCAGCGGUCAUGUCAUUUUUUUCAUCAUCGAAUCCCCCACGGUAAGGGGACCGGUAGGGGAUAUGAAGGAUGGCCGCCAUAUGUUGUCUGGUGAAGGCGGAGCUGCCUCUUCACCAAUGUUCAAGUCAAAACGACGAUCAGAAGGGCCAGACAUUUUUCAGAGGUGGUAAAGAAAGAAGAGAGUCGGAUGAUCAAGAUUAAACAAGUGCAAGAAGGGAGUGUUUACAGGAGGGUAGCUCAAGUGUGUUGUGGAACAAAAUUAACGCCUCUAUAAAAAGAAGAAAUCAAAGAGGCGCUCCUCAGAGAUGCGUCCUCUCGCAAAUCGAAGAGUCGGGGCUCCUUUCUCAAAAGCCGGAUUCUUUUCUCAAAAGAGGAGUUUCCGUUCUCAAAAGCCGGAUUCUUUUCUCAAAAGAGGCGUUUCAUUUCUUAAAAGUUGGGCUUGCUCAGAAACCACGAGCCGAACCCCGGAUUUCGCAAGAUCAAUUCGUCCAGACGUGUUGUCACCCGUCACACGCAAACUCAGCUCUGCGAAAAUCACGAGCAGUCUGUCGAAGUGCCGAUUCCAACCAUCUGUCUCUCUCUCAGCCUAGUCAGCACUUGUCACAUGCAACUGGCAGCUUUGCGGAAAUUACGGGCAGCUUUGUCAGAAAGCGCGUAAUUUUGUAUUCUUCACCCAUCCACCGGCUGCCGACACUAAGUGAGAGAAACAGUUCCGGUUGUGAAGACAAGUCCUAUAAGUUUCUACCUUCGCCUUCCACAGCAAAAGCACACUCUCUCAGCACACCCUCUCAACACCUCUUCAUCUCCGAAAAUGCAUUCCCAAAGAAUCCUCUCGAGUCACUCUGUGUUCCUCAUUCCUUGGGAUACUCCUGCGAACAACCCAUUCAAAGCAAAAGUAUUUCAUAUCAUAAAGGUUGAAAGCAAGAGUAUCUCAUAUCAUGCUUUCUCCAUGUCCUUCUCCUUGUCUUUGUUUUCCGACAAGGAGAAAGAGAGCAAUCAGCCAGCAUUUGGUAUCAAUCUUCCGAUCUGGAGCCAACUGCCUGGAACCCCUUCCUGAUUGCUUACCUAGCCUUGCUCUCGAGUACUCAUCUUCAUCAUUUUAUGCUUUCUCUUCGUCUACCACAUCUGCCUGGGGGACAGUAAGGGAAGUGAAAAUGAUACCUCGAAGCAUGUGGAGACAAUUCAGCUAGGGACAAGGAGAAAGAAAGCAAGAGGUGGGCACUUGGAAAGAUUGAAGAAAGAAAAUAAGGACCAACACCUUUCCCUCGUGCCUGCCCGUUGUGCAGAAGAAACAAGCAGAGAAGAAUGCAGCUUGCACAAUCAUCCCAGCGGAAGGAGUCCGAACUGAGGAACUAGAGAAGCUGCCACAUCUGCUUGGAGAACAAAUAAGGAACUGCAACAUAACCAAAGAGCAAAGCUUCGCCGUACAAUAUCAUAAAAUCAUCACUUGCAAGUGAAAAGCUAAGUGUCACCCUGUUCAAGAGGAAAGCUGUGGAAAGUCAACAAGCACGACCAAUGAUUACUUAUUAGUUUUAUUCAUUAUCUUUUAUCGUAAUUUUCAAUUUUUCGUUUGCAAUUUUUUUUUAAUUAAUUUUCUUGCGUACUUAACUGAAUUAUUUCUUUUCUUUGCAGGAACUUUUGGUUAUUUCCACCCUUGAAGUUGAUUGCAGAAUUUUAGCUUGGGGGUCAUCGCUUGAUUUUACUGCAAAUUAGGGAAGUUUUCAGUCCAAUUGCUUUAUUUUUUUUUUUAUUAUUUUGUUUAUUUUAUUUAUUUUUUGCAUUAUAGUGUUUUCUGACAUUGGGGACAAUGUCAAGUUUAAGUGUGGGGGUAGAAAUCUCCAGAAUUUCAUUUGUCUCUGUGUUGUUGUUUUUUUUUGUGUUCUUAAUUAGUUUUGUUUUCUUUAAAAAAAAAAAAAAAAAUUAAAAAAAAUUUCGGAAAAUUUAAAAAUCCAAAAAUAUUGUCUUGUUUCCCUUAUUGUUUUGAAUUAGAUUUUUGUUAGUUUCCCGACCCAAUGAUAUAAUUAGAUCAAAUUUGAAUCACGAUUAUCAAGAACUUAGUUAACAUGUGUUUUAUGAAAUUCCUAAUUCUCUUGUUAGUUUUGUACAUGUUUGAUCAUCUUUGAAAAACCAAAUGCACAUAGCCUUGUUGAUGUGAAACUAAAGUAUGACUUAAAGCUUCAUAUGUGAAUUUAGUGACCAUAUACAUCCUAUGUGAGUUUUUGAGCCGAUUGAAAGUGUGUGCAUUUUUCAUACACUCCUAUUCUUUCAUGUGUGAUGAACUUAUGUGAGAUACAUCUCUAGAACUUGCGUAACGAUCUUUCGAAAUGUUUGUCAUUGAUUGCAUGAACUUGGAAAUGAUAGAGGCAUUAGGUUUACCACCAUGGCCCAAAUAACCAUGUUUCCCAAAGAAAAAUGAUAUCAUUAGAUUGCCAAUUUGAGCCGUGUAUGUUGAGCCUUUUAUUUCUUAUCACCAGAUAUGUCUACCCUUAUACCUGAAACAUUUUUCCUUACCCUUUCCAAGCGAGCAAUGCGAAAUUGUCUUAUGAGAAACGUUUGUGAAGUACUUUGAAGGUGUUUGGCAAAAGAAUAAGUGUGGGGGUAUUUCAUGUUUGUAAAAAAAAAAAAAAAAAAGGGAAAAAAGAGAAGAAAAGAAAAAGAAAAAAGAAAAAUUGUACACAAAGAAAAUAAAAAGUUGUUCAAGUUUCAGUUUAAGGGUAUGGUUGGAGGUGCUAGAAGAAUUGUUGGAGAGCUUGAGUUCUUAUAAAUCUAAAGAGAAAAAUUGCUUGCAAUGUAGCUUGGAAUUUGUGUUUCCUAUUCUUUCGUUUCAAUAACCCUAUCCCUAAGCCUCAUUACAUCCAAUAAAAGUCCUCUUGAUUUAAGUUUUGCAAUUAUGACUGUGGAGAAGUGAUCUUUAUGCAAGCUUAUGGUAGAAAUUUCACAUUUGUUUCUUUGAGCGAAACACACUAAAACUAAACACAUAUGUGAUUGAGUGUAUAUCCCGUGAGAAGGUUACUAGUUUGCAUAUGAUGAUUUUAAAAAUAAAAACUUGAAAUUGCAUUAGCAUGGCUAUCUCACACACUACACUUCAAGGAUGAUUCAAAGAUUACUGCUAAUAUUUGAAUAAGGAAGAUGAACUUGGAUUAGUUCCUUGAUGCUAGCUAUGGUUCUUGAUGAUUUGUUUUCUUGAAUGAAAUUCUAUGAGGGUCACAUAGAGGGAAGCUAAUGUUUUUCAUGUUAUUACUUUUUCAUGUUUUCUUUGUUUUGCUCGAGGACUAGCAAAAGUUAAGUGUGGGGGUAUUUGAUCGGAUCAUAUUUAUAUAUAUUUUUACUUCGAAUUCACUCGUCUUUUCUUAGUUAGUUCCUUAUAUUUUUGAGCUAUUUACGUUAUUUUUGUGUUUAUAGGAUUUGUUAUGCAAAGAAAAUAAAAAUAGAACAAAUGAAAUUUUAUGUAAUAAAUUCGUCAAAAAUGUCUGUGUAGAUCAGCUUUUAAAUUAAAUUAAAAAAUAUAUAUAUAUAUAAUAAUGAUAAAUCAUGAUGAUGUUUGAAACAUCAUCAUGAUGGUUUUGUUUUUUGUAGAAGAAAAGAAAGGAACGGAUGGAGAAGAAGAAAAGAAAGGAAUAAAAAAAGAAAAGAAGGAAUAAAAAAAAUUAAAAGAAGAAUAAGUGAGUCCACACAUGAGGGAUCCAAAGAAAGAUAUACGAAAGAAGAAGAAAAAAAAGGAGAAUCCAAGGCGUGAAAGGGAUAGAGGCGGGAGACAGAGAAGACUUGAAAAAGUGGGAAAUAAAAUAAUAAGAUAGAGAGGAGAAAGCAGCUGGCAGAGACGAAAUUGGGGGGGGGGGGGAGAGAUGGAGCUGCCUUUGGCAGCACGGGGUCAGAGAGGAUAGAGAUACGUGAGGGAAAGCAAAUAAGAAAGAAGAAGAAAAAAAAAGUGAGGGACUGACAGAAAAGCAGAGGGCUGCCCUUUGGGCAGCGUGAGGCUGCGCAGAAAUAAAAGGGACAGUGCGGCAUGGCAGGAGAGAAGUGACGCAGGGAGUGAGGGCAGAAGCACAGAAACGCAGCAGAUCUUAUUCUCUCGGUUAAAUCUUUCCAACUUAUGAUUAAUUUUUUGUUUAAUUUUAGAAUAAUGUGUAGCUAAAUUUAUUUUGGCUAGAGGUUAAUUCAAAGCCAUGAAUAUAUUUGUAAUAUGAAUUGAUUACCUUCGGUUGUGAUUUCAUAAGUUGUGAUUUCAAUUUACUUAUCCGUUCGUAUAAAAACUGAUUUGUGUAUGUUGGUUGAGAGUGCACGCUUAAUUUACAUGCAUGAAUUUGAUGCUAGAAUAUAAGUGAAUUUCACCUAAUCGUUAUGAACUUAUUUUCACAAGUAGUAAAGGUUGCUAGUCACAAUCACGUUAAGUAAAUUCUUGGCAAGAGUAUCAUGCUUUUCAUAGUUACGAAUGCAUCGUCAAUGCUUAUAGUUUUCACAAAGUUUAAUGAUCUUUGAUUGUAUCUCUAUUGUGCUUUUCACGUAGGGGACUUUUGAAGAAUGUUUUGAAUUGUUGUAUGCGUUUUCCCGUCCAAUUCAAUAACUUAAGGAAAACUUGAAGAUUAAAAAAGUGCUGUUCACGGUUAAUCUGGAGUAUUGAGAUUCACAAUUUAUUGAAAGAACAACUGAAAAUCAAUUUAGGUUGCAUAUGUGUCAUGUGUGGAGAAGAACCCUCUAGCUAGUCCGUCAUUUAUCAUUUUACCUUAAUUUUAUGUUUUGUCAAUUCUGUAAUUUAAUUAAGUUUAAUUUACUUUUCAUCAAAACCAAACACCUAUCCAUUAUUAAAUUAUUUUAUUUAUUUAGUUUUCUUUAUUGUUAGUCUUUUAAUUUAAUUUCCGUCCAUUUCAGUUCCUAGUGUUUAAUUUGAUUGUUUUCAUUAUUUUGAGUUAUCCUAAGUGUGUUUCGAGUUAUUAGAGUUUUUAGCCUAGUUUUGUGUCCUUGAGUCUUAUUUAAUAUUUUUAAAUUAAUUUAGAAUAGAUUAGCAAUCCCUCCUAAUCCCCGGCCUAGAACGAUACCCUACUUACAUCCAUACUACAAUUGUCAAAAAGAGGGUUUAAUUUGUGUGUCAAGAAAUUCUCACAUCAUUACCUCAGAGUAAGUCUUCCAAGUGUUGGCAUUGAUCAUGUACUGGAAGAAACAAUCACAUAGGCCGACCGUGAAGGCCUUGAGGGUGGUCUUAUCAUCUGCCUCAGCGUAGCGAUAAUACUCAUGGUUGAAACGACCGGCAUACUCUCCUAGUGACUUGUCCGACUUCUGGCUAAUAGUGUACAAGUCAUCUACAGAAUGCAAACGAUUGGUCUGGAAGAUAUGUUGAGAGACAAACAGUUCCUCAGUUCCUCAAAUGAGUCUACUAUCUCAGGUGGAAGACAACAAUACCAGUUUAGAGCUCCGCCAGAAAGGGUGGAGGGGAAGAGAAGACAUCGUUCUUCGUCGGUGUGCAUCCGAUAUGCCAUGGUGGACUCAAUGAGGUUAAGGUGUUCAAUUGGGUCCUCUCUUCCAGUAUAGAGUUGUAAACCAAGCUUUUGUUUUGUCUUCGCUUGAAAGGAGGUGUCGAGAAUCCUCCUUGUGAGAGGGCCAGGCCUGGGUUGGUUCCAGUCAGGUAUCUCGGCUUGACAUUCGGCCUUCAACUUGUUUGCUUCCUCAAGGAGUUGUAGGACAAGAGGGUCCUGAGUAGAGUCAUGUACCACUGGGAUUUUCUUUCGUAAGUCUUCUUCGCCUCUUGGAAGUAAGAAAGUUUGAGCAAGGGCGUGUGAUUUUUCCUUGGAUUCGCCGUACUGACUUCUAGGGUAAGUUUGUCGGAAUACCUCAAAGUCCCCUGUACCUUCAUGUUCCUCUAGGGCCUGUCGUUCCUUCCCUAGAUUGGCAGCCGGCCUAGGUCGUGGGAGGGGACUGAGUCUUUCAAAAACCCUUGGGUCAUUAAUCUUCGAGCAUAUGUGGAGAGGAUUAUCUCAACGUUGCUUUAGGAAGUCUCGGCAGUCACGAUAAACGGCUUUCGAUCCUUCCAACCCUUCUACAAGGAGGUGUCUUCCUCCACUUUUCCUGCUUCGGGUCGAAGCUGCUGGGUUGAGAGAAGUCUCAUGUUGAUCAAUGUUUUGAUGAUUAGCUCGCUCCUCAUUAGGGAUACCCAUGUCGAAGGAAGGUGACCUUCCGUGUUGGGGGGCACCCAGAUGAUGGUUGAUGUCCACAAGGGCAACGAACUCACGUGUUUGAGUACGCCUAGUUUCGUGGAGUGUCUCAAAGAGCUUCUCAUACUACUACUGGAGGACCUCAUUCUUCAUUGCUAUCUUGUUGUUCUGAGCUUCUAGCUCAUCGACUUUAGCUUGAAGAGCAACCCUCUUUCCUUUCUUCUUUCGUUGCUUCGCACUAGGUGCAAGAAGGGUGUCAUUUUGUGUUGUGGCUUCCUUCGUUCCCCAUGUUAGAGAGGGAUGCCUGGUUAAAAGAGAGUGUACGAAUGGUGGAAACUAGCUUGACAAAGCUGAAGAGAGUGGGAAUAAGUGUCGUUCCCACAGACAGAGCCAAAUGUUGAUGCACAAAAUUAGUGAGGACUUUGGUACAACAGAAAGUGUUAAGUUUGUGACCUUCGCUAGAUUGCUCCGGUCAUUAGUGUUGAUAAGUAUGUAAAUGGAUAGGGACUGGGAAGCAAACACAAGAUGUACGUGGUUCACCCAGAUUGGCUACGUCCACGGAGUAGAGGAGUUCUCAUUAAUUGUGAAGGGGUUACAUAAGUACAUAAGUUCAAGCUCUCCUUUAGUGAGUACUAGUGAAUGAUUUAGUACAAAUGACAUUCGGAAAUAUUGUGAGAGAAUGAUCUCUAUUUAUAGAAUAAAGUUUCUAGUUUCAUUCUGACAUUGACACGUGUCACGUUGUGAUUGGCCUCCUGGUUAGAGGGAAACUCUUCUGGGUCCUUGAGGGUAUAACGUUGACCGAUGCUCAGUAGUUUCGGGAUUGAUCAAGUAUGGUACAAACAAAAGGUACAUCCAAUGUGGUUUGACGAGCUUCCGAUGAAACAUACCUAUCCAUUGGUCCCCUUGACAUAGGUGGUGGAAAAGAACCUGUUUGUUGUCGAUGUGUGACACUCAUACUCUUACUCUCACUACUUACAUAUUGUGUCCUUGAGUCCAUGUCGACACUUUCACUUUGUUCUCCACCACCACGAGACAACUCAUGGCUAGCUUUCUUCUUUUCUUUAGUUUCAUGAACAUUAGCAAAACAUUGUUCCUUCACAUUGGGUGAGACUUGUUUACAACUAAUUAUUCCUUCCAAACUUACACCACCCAAGUGAUGUUUGAAUCUAGAAAUUGAACCCGUGCAUUUGUGGUUACAAAAAACACAAUAGAAGUGCUCAGUGAUAGGAUCCAAAUCUUUUGUCCAUUGCCAAACAAAAUCUUUCUUAGAAGAAGCCAUAUUCUUUAAUGCCUAAACAAUAAACAUUCGAUGCAUACAGUUAAUCCAUUUUUGAAUAAACAAUAAACAUUCCAAUGCAUAUUCUUCAAUGCCUAAAUAAUAUAUAAACAAAACUAUAUAAUUAGGCAUUCAUGUAUGUGUAUUUCAAUGUACUGCAUUAUUAGUGUGCUUUUGCUCUUGAAAUGGUCUGAAUAUGCUUCCUAUUUUUGGUAUUAGUUGCCAUCUUCUACUCGGUGAAGUCGAAAAUGCAAAGCAGUACAUGGUGUUUAUGUAGUUUUGUGUUCUGAAUCAGUAAAGGUGUAUGUUUUGUGUCAUAAUGUUACAAUCCUGUUUAUGUAGUUUUAUAUAUUUUAGUAUUAUAUUGAUCAUAGCCUUUGUAUCUACUUUAACUAAUAUCAAGUGUUCGCCAGUAAGAUCAUCACACACAAACUAUAUAAAAAAAAUUAAAAUAAAAGAAAAUCAAAAAAAUCAAAAUCCCAGAAACCUUAACCUUUAAAAUUGGGGAUUUGUGGGCGCUUGCUGACGGCGAUGUUGCUGGGUGACAGCGGUGCUGCUUUGAAGUUGGCGAUCGUUGUUGCUCCAAGCUGGCGGCGGCUAAGCUAUUAUGUGCUCUGGUCUAACGACACGGGAGGAGUGAAGAAGGCAGAGGCAUGAUCGAAGAAGAGAGAUGAGGUAUGGUCCAUAUGGAGAUUGAAGAUUAAAAACCCCUACCCAAACGACUUUGUUUUGGGUUUGGGAGGUUUAAAAAAAGAAAAAGAAAAAAGACAAACAAGGUGCCUGGACGCCUUGAGGCGUGGUGGCAUAAUCUUCCCUCAUCAGUGUAAGUACUAUUCUUAGUAAAUUUGUAAUUAACAUCUUCAGAUGUGUUACAUGUAUACUUCUGUUGUAGAUAAUUACAUGCUUUGGUUUCCAAUACAUUCAUUUAUUCAAGGUUCAUUCGUACUUAUUUAUGCUCUUGUUUUAUUUCAAUCUUUAAUUUAUUUGUACUUUUACACGUCACUUGCAUGUUAUGACUUCAUCACUUUUCAAGUGUCAGCCAACAUGCCUAGAUUUCGGCGCCCACGUGGAUAUUCGGGUUAGAAUGUAUCAGUAAUAAUCUAUUUGCCCGAGUCAAGCAUCUUAGAGACAUAAAAUAUGAUUUUGGCCUUUAAUAUAAGUAAGUAUGUUGUAUUAUUUUUAAUUAACAUGUAUAGUUUGAGUUUGCUGUAUUGUUUUUAGUUAGCAUGUAUAUUUUUGUUAUAUUUGUUACUAUGUUUGUGUAUUCAAUUCACAAGAAUGAUUUUAAACUCGUAGAAGUUAAGUGACCUACCGUUGGUUGCUGUAUAUUGCAGAGUUUUUAUUGAAGCCAAAUAAUUUUAUCUCUACUAAUUAAUAAAACACACAUUGUCAACCAAAAUCCUAUGAAAUUACCAGUUUAACUCUCUAAUUAAAACAUAACAUGAAUAAGAAAUAUGGGGCAGAAAUGUAAUUUUACACAACCAAAUUUUGCUGUUUUUUUCAAAGCCUCACCUACAUGUAAUCCUAACAUAUCUCUAAUUAAAAAAAAAAAAAAAAACACUUCUCACUCCCACAUUCUCUAUCACUCUCGAUUCUCCGCAAUUUACUUGAACUUAGCUUUCACUUUUAUAAAGAAAAUUGUAUUCACAUACAAAAAUGUACACAUCAAUCCUUUUCGUUAUCAAUUUUGUAUAGUAAAAAAAUCAAAUAAAAUUACUCCAUACUGAUUUAUUAUGACUAAUAAUACUAUCUAUGAUAAAUUGUAAAAUUCAAAAUUUUAAUCUAUUUGUAAUAGGAUAAAGACAUAGGAAAAUGAUUAACAUACAUCUUAUUUAGUUUCUUACACACACUUGUUUAAUUAUGAUCAAAUUAAAAAAUUAACAGUAUGGUGUAAAUUGACUAAUUAUGAGAGUUGAGGGGGGAAAUUGACUAAUUAUGAGAGUUGAGGGAGGAAAUUGGCUAAUAGUCACAAGUUCAGGGGGGAAAUUGAUGAAUACCUCUUUGUAAAAAAAAAAUAUAUAUAUAUAUGAUUUAGCAAGACGGUAUUGGUAGCAUUUUUCUGUGUCAUAAUUUAAUAAUCCCUAAAAUAGGGUUUUACCCUCUUUUUAAUCGAGAAGAAAAACCCGCUAGAACUAGAGUCUGGGUUGAAAGAGAAAAGGGUAUAUGAUUUAGCAAGACGGUAUUGGUAGCAUUUUUCUGUGUCAUAAUUUAAUAAUCUCUAAAAUAGGGUUUUACCCUCUUUUCAAUCGAGAAGAAAAACCCGCAAGAACUAGAGUCUGGGUUGAAAGAGAAAAGGGCUUCAGUUGGAAGGAGCAAGGUUUAGCGGCCAUUUCUACUUUUCUAGGGUUAUAGUUGUAGUGAAAAAUACAAGAGUAGUAGAAGAAGAAGAAGAUGGGGUUCAGAAUGCAGCCCUACGGAAUACAAUCGAUGCUAAAGGAGGGCAACAAGCAUCUCUCUGGUUUGGACGAGGCGGUGGUGAAGAACAUCGAUGCCUGUAAGCAACUCUCCACCAUCACCAGAACUUCUCUCGGUCCCAAUGGUAUGUCUUCUCUUACUCUACCCAUUACGUAUCACAAUCCCUUUUGGUGGAUCUUUUAGUGGAUCAGAUGCAUACAUUUGCAAGUAGAUUUUUGUUUUUGUUUAUUUUUGAAUUAUUUGUCUACUUUUUCGCUAAUUAAGCAUGAAUAAGAUGGUAAUCAAUCACUUGGACAAGCUAUUUGUGACAAAUGAUGCCGCCACCAUUGUCAAUGAACUGAAAGUUCAGCACCCUGCUGCCAAGAUUUUGGUUUUGGCAGCCAGGGCUCAACAAGAGGAAAUCGAUGACGGCGCUAAUCUUACCAUUUCUUUUGCCGGAGAGCUCAUUCAAAACGCAGAGGAGCUUAUCAGGAUGGGCCUAUUGUUUGGGUUAAUAUUUGAACUUUGGGCUGAAGGAAGAGAAGCCCAAAAGGAAGCCUAAAAGACAUGACUCUACCCGAAGGCCCAGCAUCAAAUUCAUUCGCCCAGCCUAAGGCAAAAUGAUGAUUCCAUAUUAAAUGCAAAGGCUAGUAGCUUGAAAUAAGUGACACUUGAUGGAAAUCAGCCUACUCUCAGUCCAAAAGCAAUUUUUGAAUGGCAGAGUACGUAAAUUACUGAUGAGUCACUACCUCUUAGUUGCUUUCGGGCAGAAGCCAAGUUGCAAGCAGUCAGGCUAAUUCAGCUAUAAAAUGAGGAAUAAGGCCUGGAGACAAAGACACUCAACCAGUCAACAAACAAAUACACAAACUCUGCUCAAGCAGAUUUGCAUACGAAGUUGUAGUCAGCCCCCAACCUCAAUCAUUUUUAGGAUCAGCCCUCACAAAGGCCAUCUUUUGUUUAGUUUAAUAACUUUGCUACGCUUUCAACCAUAGUAGUAUCGAUUCUCUUAUGUUCACCCUACUCACCAUUCACUCCCUUUUUUCCCCAAACCUUUGUACUUACAAAGAAGUGACGCUGUACAAGAUUCAACCAUGCCCGACAAGGUUAAAUCUAGCCCGACUCCCUUUGUUUUGUUCCUUACUUAAUAGAUCUAGAAUUAUCAUGUAUCCUUCGAUAUAUAUCCAAGUUAUCUCCAGUCUUUUAGUGGUUCAAAGCAUAUCAUUUGGGCAUUACUAUUGAAAUAAAACCAUUCAACCAGAUCUAGAUAUUCUCUCUUUAAAGCAUACAAGAUGAACAAAAGUCCUUGACCUCAAGGCAUAAAAAAGAACUUAAUGUAGACUUAACCCAUCUACGACAAUCCUUUGAUAACAAGAAGUCAGAGUAACUUGGGGCGCAAGUAAUCGGCUUAAAUACACUUGUUUUACAUCUACCAUACGGAGAUGGUAGUGGCACACCUAAGCACUUAAAGUUAUUUUUUGACUGUGAACCUCCAAGCCUGUACCUAAGGCUCAGCAAAGGCACAUUUUUGAAACUAACUUUGUUCUCCUCUUGCAGCAUUGUAACAAGUAGGAGAUCGACAAUCAACCAAAGUGCCAACUCCUCAGGGAGCUGUGUGCUCGAGCUAGGAACACCCACCAGUGAUAUUCCUACCCGAACAUAGUUUUGGCAUGCCCGGUGGGAUAUUAUCUUGUAUGCCAAGAAGGCAAAGGAAGGAACAAACCUUCAGGUAGGGAGCAAAAUAGAAAUCACCCCACUACACACCAAGAUCCAGCAUGGCAAAUCUCCCCAAAGACUUGCAAGGACUCGUCUUAACGGAAAGCCCAACUUCUUCUGAGAAGUCAGAAAGAAAAGUUACGAAGGAAGACCUGCAGGCCAUCAUGAUGGCUUUUAUAAAAAGCUUGGAGAGAAACUCCCAAAGCAUGGAAAGAAACUCUCAGAGCAUGAAGAUAAACUCCCGAGAGACAAGGGAAGACAUAAGCAGACUCUAUUCCUUAACAGGAAAUUUGCAAAGGAGGCUAGAUCUGGAAUACCCUACUCCAGAAAAUGAUCAUGCUAGGACAAUGACAAAUGAAGCCAGUCCUGUGAAUGAGGCGGUUAUUCCUCUAUUUCCUAUACUUGAGGAAAAAAAGGAUAAAGGGAAGAACAAGGAAGAAUCUGAAGCAAGUCAUCCGGUUUUGGAAGAAAUUCUAGGAACAGAAUUACCCAACCCCCUGUUUUCACUAAACAACAGGGGGCAUGUCGGGUAAGAGAGAACAAAAUAUGGGAUGUUCCAAUUGAUCGGGGAAUCCAGUGGGAAAGGAGAACCUGCCAAGGUAGACAAACCACUUCCUUAUAGACUGCUGCUAAAGAUUGAUAAGGGAUGAGAGCUUAAAUAGAGGAUGCCCGACGUAAGGAAGGAGAAUACCUCGUGCAUUGAUCGUAACCUGAAGUAGGAACCAGGUUCUCAUACUUCGCCUAAUAAUAUAGCCAAUCAACAACUUAGAGAUGAGUUGGCUGAAUUAAGAAAGAUGGUAGUAAGGAAUGCCCAACCACAAGCUCGCUCACUGUUUAGAAUUGCUUAUCAAAAGCCCUACCCGGAUGUCAUUGAUGAACAAAAUCCCUUUCCUCUUUUCUUCAAAAUGCCCGCAUUCCCAACGUUCAGUGGAGAGGACAAUAGUGUGUCCUCCAAGGAUCACAUCUUCAAAUUCUCCAACCAUUGUGUGGCGUUCGAAGACAAUCCCAAUUAUAAGAUAAGGUUAUUUGGGAAUUCGUUGGUAGGCUUAGCAUCUCAAUGGUACUUUUUGUUACCCCCAAAUUCCCUCGCCAACUGGGGGCAAAUGGAGAUGGCUUUCCACGAGCAGUUUUACAGGAUGGAGCCAGAAAUGACCAUUAAUGAUCUAAUCGAAGUGAAACAAUAUGAGCAUGAAUCUACGAAAGAUUUCAUUAUGAGGUUUAGAAGGACGAGGAUGAGAUGCCAAUUUCCCAUUAACCAUAUCCAACACAUAGCUAUUGCUCAGAAAGCCUUAAGGCUACCCUUGAGAAAGAAGUUUUAUGAUGUACAAUUUAAUGACCUGCAAGAGUUGGUGAUCGCUGCUACCAAAUAUGAGAAGUUGUUGCUUGAAGAACAACAACUGAAACACUCCUCUAAAGCCCCACAUUUCUACCGAAAUAAAACUGACAUUCACCAAGUAGAGUUCGAAGAACGACCAAAAGAAAACGAUGGUUAUGGGAGAGAACUUAGAGAAGCAAUAGACAUGUGUGCAGCAAAGAUGACCAUUCCUUUUUAACCCUUGAUGGUAAAGGGAUUGGUCCAACCGGUCAAAGAUCAGAAGGUACUGAUGAAUGAUGGAGAAUUUAUCCCCAUAAAACCUUCAAAAUACCAGAGUUAUUCCUUUGACUUAACCAAAGUUGCAGAAAUAUAUGACGAUCUAGUACGAGCAAGAGUGAUUGUGCCCGACAGUACUAAAAAAUUGCCUAAACCCGAGGAGUUAAAAAGGAAAAAGUAUAGUAAGUUGCACCACACCUUCAACCACUCUAUCACCAAUUGUGUCCAAUUUAGAGAUUGGAUACAAGAUCUCAUGGUUAAAGGGAAGUUGCUAUUACAGAAACCUCAGACCAACAUGAUGAUUGACACAUAUCCUUUCCUAGAAGCCCCAAUCAACGUGAUCAGCUUAACAUGGGUCAGAAGGGAGAAGAAAAAAGCCGCUUGGGAGACAAAGGUAGGAUGAAUAAUCCUAUGGAGAGAGCUCUCUAACUACCCGAUAAGUCCAAAGCAACUGUAAUAAAAGGGUGGAUGUUUGUACAAAUCAAUACCAACGGAGACACGAGAAUGAGUUAUCCCCAACAGAAACCAAAAUCGAUCCAGAAGUUGAUCAAAAAAUAGAAAGGAUGAAAGAAACUUCUGCUAUUGAAAAUCAAAAAUAAGGUUGCGGAUUAAAGAAUAUUCCAUUUCAUAAGGGGAUUACAUAAAUCUUAACCCAAUAACUUUACAUCUUCGGCUAGAGCAACUAUUCUAGAGAAGUAAGUUUGCAUAACAGCAAAUAUUCUAUCUAGCUCUCCUAAGUACAUAUUGCUAUUCACUAGUUGAUUCUCGGACUUCUCAACCUCUUGAGAGGCUUUCUCCAUCUCCUCUACUUUCUGGGAGAGUUGGUUGGUGAGGGUCAUCUUUUCAGCUUGAAGUAAUGAAAGAUGCUCAUCCAAACUCCGAAUUUCAGAAUCAACCACUGAGAUCCUUGCUUCCAUUGCUGAUCUUUCCUCUACCAAUUGUCAGAGCACGGUUGUACUCUUCACAUGCUUUUCUUGAAAGCACUUUACUCUAUUAGAUGCUCUCUCUGCUUUAAGAUGUUGAUCUCUUAAUGCCCGUAAAUUCUCAAAGAAACUCAGAAAAGACUUGUAUUGAGCUGGGGGUAGUAACUCAGCUUGGUGAAGUUCAGAAAGGGCUUUUUCUGCAUCAUAAAGGACUUUAAAACUAAAAGAAGCUGUGAAGCCCCUUCUUGUCUAGUCCUUGAAAAGAUUGCGAGCACGUUGAAAUGAAGGAAUCUCAGAGGAUGUUAGAGGAGAUUGCAGUUUGUUUUUUAUCUAACCGAACUUCUUCACUAGAUCGGGCAAUGAUAUUGUUGAUGAAGUCGGGGGCACAUCUCUAACACUUUCAAUCAUAACAGUAGGGACAACUUUAGAAGGUGGAAUGGAAAGGUCCUUAGAAGUAGGAGCAAAAAUGGAAGAAGUUGCUAUAAUAGUCUUGGCUCGCUAUUCAGGCCUAGGGACAGAAGCCCCUGUAACCUCAAAGAUUGAAGAGGAUCUCCUUUACGCACCAAGCGUGGAGAUGACUUGCCCGAGCCCUUUCCGGAAUCCUAUUGCAAACAAAGACACAAAUGAUAAGAGAGAAGUUGUCCAAGCCAGGAAAGGAUGAAAUACAAAAGGGCAAUAUACUUGAAAUAAACCCGGAGCUCUAGAAAGAGGUGGAGAGUGAGUAAUUUCUAGUGAUCGUUGGGGGAGGUUAUCUCCACCUACUAAGGUAAAAGAGAAGGUACCCGAGACUUCAAGAGAAGCCUGCAAAAGUAUGAGAAGAAGUGAAGGCCAGUAGCUAAAGAAGAGAAAAAUGGGAAGUUCAAAAAUAUACCUGUGGAGGAACUUGAGGUUGAGAAACAUGCAACUCUGGAACCUCGGGCGCAUUAGUAAAGAGUGCCUGAGAAACCUGUGGAUUAGUCACCUCAGACACUACAGAGAUCUCAUGAACUAUUGACUCUUCAAAAAUAAAAGCUGGUACAUGCUGAAAUUCCUGUACCAGGGCAGGUUGAAAGAAAUGAAGGAUAGUAAGUACAGAAAAAGAGUUUUGAACAUGGGAUGAUAGGAACAGGUACUCACUGAAUCACUGUCAUCCUUCAUGUAAUGCAUCAUCUGCCCGGUUGAAUGAUCAAAUUGAAAGAUCGGAGUCACCUCUAAAAGAGUGGGUUUUGCUUGGAAAAAAAUGGGCUUGCCUUGAUCGGGCUGAAUGAGAAGAGAUUUCAGGCGGAGAGAUCUUUUCUGCCCAAAUCUCCUGAUACAGAUAAUCGGGUAAAAGAGAUAUCAGGAAAAGAAAAAAGGGGAAGAAUUCUAAGAAAAUGGGGGCAAUCUAUACCUCUAAUUCUCCAAAGACCACAUCCUGGUAAUCUUUGGCCCUUCGCUGCUUUUCUACAUCUAAUGGAGCAUCCUUUAAAACCAAAGAGGGUUCUUUGGAUACCGAAGGUCCUGAUCACAAGAAGGACCAAACUGUUGGUUCCCAAGCGUAAGGUAUGGAUGAAAGAUUAAGGCAAAAGAUACUUACGGAAGGCUUUCUAUUUUUUUCUUACCCACGGUAGUAGUAGAGGUCUUUGAAAUAGAAGUAGCUUUGGAAGACUUGGAGGUUUGGGCUUUUGUACUUUUCCUGGUUGGGGCUGCCCGCUUAGAUUUGAGUCGUUGUUCAGGAUCAAAAUCAGAAGUAUCUAUCACGAUUGUUCAUUACCGUUUGAGGGCCCUAGUACUUACUCUGGGCUUUUCCUCAGCUUCUGAGUCUCCAAGGAGGUCUGAGAAAUCCCCACCACCUCCAAUCUCUCACCUUUUAGCUUCGUUUGCAGCUUCUUGAAGAAUCAAUGUGUCGGUGGAUUCUUCUUCUGACCCAAUGUCUGUCGUUUCUGUGGUCCUUUGGGCUGCAGGGAAUGAAAAGAAUGAAGAUUUAAAAAAUCAUUGAUGUCUAAAGUUUUUUUAUUUUAUUUUAUUUUAUAAAGAAUGAAUUGAGAGAAUAGAAAGUACCUAUAAAAAGAAGCUGAUUCUUUUGAGAAACCAUUUCAUUCCAAUUUUUAAGCCCACCUGUGCUAGGAAAAUAUCUGAGAGAAAGUUGGCUGAAAAGACGGUCAUGAGCUUCCCGUAGAUCUCUUCCAUAUUUCUUGAUCCAUUUCGCCUCCCACUAAGAAGAAAAAAACCGAAGAACGCUCAAAAUUAAGGGCCAAAGGUUUUCAGGCCACCUUGCUUAUAACUUCAAGACUACGUCAGGCAACUCGGAAAAUAUCUUCUUGAGGAGAUGGAAUGCGGUAUGAGGUACCACAAUGAAUAGAAUCAAAAAAUGCAAUUGGAAUAGCUUGCCUAAAGCCCAGUUGUCUACUACAGAAGUUGGGAUGAUAAACCUCCAGACCGCGUUCAUAACGAUCACUGCGAACUCCUCAGGCUAAAUCUCGUGAUUGAAUACAACUGAUAAAUUUCUCUCUGCAUAAAGGGUCAGCGUCCUCUAUAAGAGCAACUUGGAAAGCCUAAUCAAGAAACCACAGAUAUUUACGAAAAACAGAUGCUCCCCAUUCUAAGUCUGCUCGAGUCCUGCAGACUUUGAAAAAAUUAAAGUAGGCAAAUGUUGAAUGAUCUAUGGAGGGAGCUUCGGCUAAAAUUCGAGCAGGGGCUACACCCUCUGGGAACUCCAAGUUAAUUGCCCGAAACUCUGGGAAGUACCAUUGCAACCAUAAUUGGAUCAUCCAUAUGGGCCCAUUAAGGUUGGUCUCAAAUGGUUCACCCCGAGUCAUUUCAAAAAGGAGAUGAUAGAAGUGAGAAAGAAAGAAAUGACAUGUGGCUACAUCAUCAAAAUUAUGAAGGGCUUCCACUAAGGGAAUCCAUUCGACCUUUACCCCAUUGGAUUUGUUAGGAAAUGCAUGUUUGUUGAGCCAGUACAGGAGAAAAUACAUAUGUUCCUGAUCUAUGUUGGCAUUAGGAAAACCUGCACCAAAGUUGCUUUUCACAAAAGGGAUAAAACCCUUGAAAGACGUCUCAUAAAUCUUGAAAGUUGCUGAGUUGUAGUCUAACUGAAGAAAGGAAGCCGAUGUGCCCGAGCUUGUGCCUGAACUUUCAGCAAUCGUGUGAGAAGGAAGAGCCCAAGCAUGAGUUACGUCCACAAUUCUGCCCGAUGGUCUUAACCCAAAGACUUGUGCCAUAUCCAAGAUAGUAGGAGACAUGGGACCCAUCCUGAAGUUAAAGGUGUUGGUGCCCGAGUUCCAAAAAAGAAAAGUAGUGGUCAAUAAUUCUGGCUUCGCUACCACGGUGGUCUUUGAGAGCAUUAUCAGCUCAUAAAUACCAUUAUUCAUCCAUUUAUUUUUUAAGAUAGGCUCGAGCUCAUUUCUCCAUUUAACCUAAGCCUCAUCGUUCAUUAGAGGGAAGCCACGGCGGUGAUUUGACCACUUGGACGAAAAAAUGCCCGAUUCAGCUAGAAACGGGUUCGGAGUGAACCAAUUGACUUUUGGCAUGCUGGCUUCUACUGUAGAAGGAACUUGAGAAACCUGUGCAGGUCCCAGUCAGUGGACCCCUUCUUCCUUAAAAAAGAAUUCAGAACGUAGACCUGCCCGAGGAUGAUGAAGGGCAUUAAGCAGAGGGCGUAGGGUGGGUGACUAUACCCUUACCAGAUUCGUAUGAAGAUCGGUUUGAAAUAGUUUUUGGGGCCAUUAAUUAGAUUUGGAAGGAAAUAAAAGAUUUUUUUUCAAAAGGGUAGAAAAGAAGAAGCCAGAAGAAGGAAAUAUUUUUGAAGACCCUAGGAGUUCUGGAAAAAUCUGGGGAAUUUUGGAAAUUUAAACCGUUCAGAGGAAAUUACAUAAUGAGCUGUUGAUUAAAGGGAAAAAAUCAUGGGUUAGUGGAAAAGACUUAGGUAGAGACGGUUGCUUUAGAUGGCGCUCAAAUUAAGUGUAGGCGCGCGGCAACUUUUCAAUCAUUAUUAACACCUCGGUUUGAAAGCUUACUAACAAUUGAAGGGGGCACUGUUUGGGUUAAUAUUUGAACUUUGGGCCGAAGGAAGAGGCGCCCAAAAGGAAGCCUAGAAGACAUGACUCUGCCCGAAGGCCCAGCAUCAAAUCCAUUCGCCCAGCCCAAGGAAAAAUGAUGAUUCCACAUUAACUGCAAAGGCUAGUAGCUUGAAAGAAGUGACACUUAAUGGAAAUCAGCCUACUCUCAGUCCAAAAGCACUUUAUGAAUGGCAAAGUACGUAAAUUAUUGAUGAGUCACUACUCCUUAGUUACUUUCGGGCAGAAGCCAAGUUGCAAGCAGUCAGGCUAAUUCAGCUAUAAAAGGAGGAAGAAGGCCUAGAGACAAAGACACUCAACCAAUCAAACAAACAAAUACACAAACUCUGCUCAAGCCAGAUUUGCAUACGAAGUUGUAGUCAGCCCCCAACCUCAAUCAUUUUCAGGAUCAGCCCUCACAAAAGCCAUAUUUUGUCUAGUUUAAUAGCUCUACUACUCUUUCAAGCAUAGUAGUAUCGAUUCUCUUAUGUUCACCCUGCUCAUCAUUCACUCCCUUUUCUCC